GAAUCUUUGCUAGACAUUUUGGCAACAUAACAAGUGGUAAGAAACACAUGCAGAAGGACACUACAAUCGCUGCACGGCAAUGUCUGUCGUUUCAUAUUUCACAUGGAAGUUUAAACUGCAUAGUUUUCUUAGUAAAUCAUGUGUCCAAGUUCAUGACACCAAGAAUAGAGUUCUUUGAUGAUUUUAUAGUCGCACGACAUGCUAGCAACAAAACUAGAGGGUUCAAAUCAAGUGGAGAUAAAAAGACAACAAGGUCAAGGUCCUAGUCAAUCUCUAGCUAUUAGUGUGCAGCAAAAGAAGGAACAAAUUUUCAGGUGGAAGAUUGACUCAAAUUUUAAUAGGACGCAAGCCCACAAUCAUACUAACUAAAUCCAUAGCAAAGGUAAACAGUUGCUAUGGAUUCAAUUAACCAGUCAAUAUAUGAUCAGCAUGUAAGUCUUAUUCUCUAAGCAUGCAACUCAAGUUUCACCAGCAUUGAACAACAUCAAAGUUCAAAAUUCUCGAGCCUCUAAAGUAUAAGACAAAUUCCAUCCGCCUGUCUUAUUGCCCUCCGGUUAACUGAAGUGAUUAAAUGGACAUGACUGAAUGGAAACAAAGAACAGAUUAAUUGAAGUGCUAAAAUCUCAAACCCCUUAACUAGCUAGUGACGUUCUGAAUUUCAGAAGGGUUUUUAUCUAGAGCUGCAGUGUGUUUCACUCUUUUAAUUCUCUGCAAAUGCUAAUUGUUUUCCUCUUAGACGGUCAAACAAAAGUUAUCUUGUAUAAAGAGCAAAACAGGAGCAUGCAUAAUCAAAUUAAUAGUAGGCAGUAUGACAGUGAUUGUACAGACUUCAAAGAUGAAACACCUUGCUACAAGCCACCAUGUUGGGAUUUAAAACUGAGGCUAAAGAGCCGCAACAUAAUACAUGGUCCCUCUGUAUUGUAGCUCCCAAUUAAUCAGUAAUAGAACUCAGUCUUUACCACGGUGCGUCAAGUUCAGGUCCAAUCAACAGUAUUUUUCUAUUUCAUAUAUUUCUAGUCAACAAUACUGAAGAUUUCAGACCUGGUUCCACAUAUGGAACUGGGCAUACCCCUAGGGUUUCAGUAAACUGUAUAGAGGCGUAAAAUGUUUUACUAUAACGAGUACUAAUUAAUGACAUUUGUGUACCAUUAGGCUCUCUAGUCCCUGUUUCAACACGAAGUUCUGGUAUUUACCAUGGGCAAAUUAACUAAACGGUACGGAUGUUUAGAAUGUUCUACUAUGAACAGUCUUACAUUUAUUAAUAAUUCUGGUAUACCCUUAGAGUCUCUAGUCCCUGAUUCAAACAUGUGUCUCGUUGUGUACAUGUGCCUGAGAGAAUAGCCAUUGUUACAUGUGUUUAAGUCUCAGGAGAAAAAACAAACAAGUGCACAUGAUGGCCACAGGAGAGUAGAGCUCAGACUGAACACUGGACUAGCUUAUAUAUUAGCCACUCUUCUACCAUGCUACCUACACGGCAAUAGAUUAUGCUACUAUGAGUACAAAGUACUCCCUUCGUCCGGAAUUACUUGUCGCUCAAAAGGAUGUAGCUAGCACUACAAUAGGUUUAGAUACAUCCAUUUCAGCGACAAACUAAUUCCAAACAGAGGUAGUACUUUACUAAUUACUGGCAAUCGCGCAAACAGAACAACAUUCGCUCCACACCAACAACUAAGAAGAGAGAGGCUGACUUAAACAAACCUUGAAGCCACGGCUAUUCCUCCUACCAUGAGCCUUCUCAAACUAACUUUCCUUGGAGUGCAUGUAUGGCUGGUGUGGCUAUGCAUCACGCCAGGAGGCAUGCCAAAGUGCCUCAAUGCCUUACUGGCAUUCUUGAGUCCCCUCAGGAGGAUCUGCAGAUCCACACAUUUAUACAAAUAUAAGAGUUCAUUCCCAACACAACUGAAGGACUACUAACACAAAUAGAUGAAUUAUAUUUCUAGAAUUAAAUUUUAAAGCACACUUCUACUGACUGCACAAUAAUAAAUAAUAACUAUGAAACUAGUCUCCAGUCAAUGUAUUAAAACCAAAAACAAUGUAGAUUAAAAUAACACUAGCCUCUUAUACUGAUAAUCUAAAACCAUCGACAUAGAAAGUGAAGAAAUCAACUAAAUCUAACAGGAAUAUUAACCAACAUCCCUAGGAGGUUGCCCAUGGCAUAUCCUGCCAUUUCAUUAAAACUGUACCAAAUUGUGACGUGGAUGCUGCUGCACGGAACAAUAACAUGAUAUAGCACCAUACAGUUUAUGGUUGACCAGAUGAUGGUCACCGUCACAGGAAGGUAUCCACAAUCAUCUCAACCAGCACGUAAAUUGGCCAUAACACCAAAGACUGAUAAAAGUAAUGUAUCAGAGAAAUGCACAAAGGUUAAAUAGGAGAUCCUAAUAUCACUUUUUUCAUCCAAAAAAUUACACCUCUAUAGUGAUGUCCUAAAAAGCAAGCAUCAUUCAUAAAGAACCGCAGGAAAAUUAUCAAAUAAUGACACUAGCAGAUAUGCUUGACCAAAUAGUGUCAUUGGUUGAGUUCUGUAAAUGUUCAUUAAGUUAGGCAUAUAAAUUGUUUUUCUUUCUAAAAAAUCACUCUCUUCAGUUGGUAAUUGAUUAGUGGUUUGUCCAGUUGGUAACUGGUUAAUGCUUCAGGCAUCAAAUGGAAAAUACUUGGUAUUAACCCAAUCCGAACCAUCGCAUUAAUCAGCGUGUGAAGUGUGAAACUUCUAUGGUCGCAGAACUAAACCCAUGCUGAACACCUACCAUGGCUCAGUGGCCAUGGGCACACAGAGCAUAAGAGAAAGCAGGGGAGAGAAACUGAAGUGGCUUGCCUAUGCCGGAGUGGAAGAAAAAGAGACCACCAGAGACACCGCGCAGGAAUGAGCACCGUCAUAAGCAAAGCUGCUUCCUGAACCAAACUCAUGCCAGAAAACACCGUCUCUUCACCAUGGUCCUUGAAGGCACGCCCGGCAACAACGCCAUGGUGGUUCCGUGCUGCUUGUACUCCAAAGCUUCUCAGCUUACUUUGUCUGCCCCAUUGAUUAGCAGGGGCUGCACAUAAGGUAGUCGCAGACACGACACACUCCAAGUUGGUAUUACUGCACUAGGAGAAGUAACCCCCUACCACACAGGGCGGCCAGAGCUGCAACAUCGCAGGCCAUAAAAAAUUAACAAACGUUCUCAGCUCAGUAUACUAACACGACUAACCGCAAAAAUGAACUACUGCAACCAAAUAAGGUGAUCAUUGGUAAUAAAUUUCUAACAAUGUCUCUGAAUAGAUCAAGAAUAGCUCCAGGAUUUGUAAGCAAACAUCAAUAAAAGGAUAGCUUAUAGGUCCCAUAUUUGAAUGAAACAGUUGAGUAAUAAACAAAGCACAAAAGCAUCCCCGUAGCAUGCUUGGACCCUAAACCCUGAACACAUAGUAGGCAAAGAUAAAACAGAAUCCACACAGAGAGGGGAACAUGCACCUAAGCCGGCGAUGACUCUGUCGUAGGUCCGUGUCGUAGACUUGGUACUUUGUCCUUCCUCGGGGCACAUCGGCGACUCUGGCUGUAUCAGGAGGCCGGCAAAGAUGCACAAGGGAUAACAGGCGAGUUGUUGAAACUGCAGGCAAUCAAUAAUACAGUGUGAAUAUCAGUUGUUUACCUAGAUAUGUAAAAGGUCAUAGAAUCUCACAGCAACUAAACUGAACUAACAGAGAAGUGUGAAAUCACUACACCCUUAGACCAAAAUAACAGGCCAUUGAGUUCCAAAAAGACAACGUGUUAAAACCAUUAUUACAUCCUACAUCAUUCAGUCCCAUCACUGUAGCACUAGUUGAGCAAGCAGCUCAUGUGCUUUUCGAUUAUCUAAAUUGCAUGAGACCGGAAAAAAUAAUUUACAAGCAAAUUUGCAUCUGAUGCUACCUAAACCAGCAUAUCUCAUUUCCACUUCAUGUCAGCAUCAUGCUACUACACAUGACAAUACAAAGAAACAUCUUUUGCGAGUCACCUUCAUUGAUCUACAUUCUCCUUAGUGUUGGCAUCCUCAAAUUUCCUUGAGGAUUCCACCAAUUCUUCAUAAUCUAGCCAUGCUUCCCCAUACGUUGCAUCCACAAGCUUUUUCACAGUAUGCUCCUGUAUAUAAGAAAAAAAAUAUGGUGCUUUUAGUCAUGCAACUGCAACAACGCAAACAAAAUUACAUUUAGUAACCAAAUGCACAAACAGAACCACGUGAUGUAAAACUAAAAGCGCACCAUGAAAGGAAAUGAAAAAACUCCAGACUUUGGGAUCUCAUUAUCUUCUUCAAUCACUUUAAGGAUCUUCUCUUUCCCUCUGUACAGAAGCUCUGCUUCUAAUUUGCUUUCAGGAACAUCAUCAUCGUCCUUCUCUUACUACUACUAGAAUCAUCUUGUAUGGAAUUCACUUUUCGAGUAAGAAGAGCAUCCUGCUGGAGUUGCGCUGUAAUGCCAACUCGAGCGCCUUCAUCUUGAAGAGACAAGCCAUGCUUAACGAUUCGCUUUGCCCAUUUCAAGUUACUCCUGUGCUUCAGCGUCAUCCUUUCCUGAAUGAUAGAUUCGCAAACUUAUUGCUUAUCAGGGAGAUAUACAAUAGAAAAAUUGUCAAAAUAAACUAACAACUACCUCUGCGCGCUUAGAUUCUAGUUUCAUAGCGGAAUCUUUUGAAGCUUCUGGAUCUGCCUCCAAGUCUGCUAAGGAUGCCUUCAGUUUGUCUGUCUUGAACAACCGGUGAUAUGUCCUGGAUUUGAUGUUCUUCACACGCUUUGCUUUCUUUCAUUUCAUGACAAAAUAGAAGGCUGCACAUUUUAGCAAGACGAUCUUGAUGCUCUCUCGCAUUUUCCACAUCCAUCUACACAAUUACAUGAACUUAUUUAGCAUAGCAACCUCACCUCUGAAGCUUGAAACUUACAUAUUAUUAUCACUAAAUAUGCUCAGCCAACAAAACAAUAAGCAUCAACACUCACAAGGCACAUGACUAACGUAAUGUAGGUCAUCCUAAUUUCGAAUGAAUAAUAUGUAUGCGCAAUGAACAAAGAGCACCUCCCACUCGACUCCCAGUGUGGGUAACAAGAUGAUAAAUUUGGUGGGGGUGAAGAUGAAGUACAUGUGCUUGAGUGCUGGGUCAUGGUUGCUCGCUCUUGGUGUUGCUGAAGAGAAGAACCUCCCAGCGGUCCUUCUCCUCCGACAAUGAAACCAUCAGCAGGCCGCCGGGGGAGGAGGUCGUGGGGGCUAUGAAGGUCCCGGUGGCCCUGCGACGAACCCAUCAGCAGAGCGGAACCGCGUUGUCGGGCUAGCAGGCAACCUUGCUCUCCCAGCGCGAGCUUCAGGUGGAAGAAGCCUUGACGACCAGGGGGGCUGGCGAGCAUGGCGGUGAUGGUGUGCUGGAUCUACAGCCUAGGUCAGAGAGGGUGGGAGACCUGCGCUGGAUCUGCAGUAAAAAUUAACUUUUUUGAUUGGGUCUGUCUAGGACACAUCUAGAUGUGACAUAGUUAUGUCACAUCUAACCUGAUCUCCACUAUGUUUAUGGUCUAUUUUUUUUUGUCCCAUCUUUUUUUUGUUCCUUAUUAAUGCGUUAUUUGUGGGAGCUUAGAUGUGACAUCCUUAAAAAACAUCUAGAUGCGAAUUAGACAAACUGUUUUUGAUUUAUACAGCAUAAGGAUCAAUCUAUUUAGCACAAGAAGUCUGAGAAUAAAUAGACUUCUGUUAAGCAAAAGAAAAGCCAGACAGAUCAACCAAAGUGCUCCAAUCAAAAUAAACAACAUAAGAAGUAGUAGAUCUAAUCAAAAUGAACCAUAUUUAUAUAUCUAGUGCAGACUGCAGUAAGCCAUGCAAAAUUAAUCACAAUGAGUUCAUCAACACUAAAUAGUACUCCCUCCAUUCCAUAAUGUAAGACGCUUUUUGAUACUACACUAGUGUAAAAAAACGUCAUACAUUAUGGGACGGAGGGAGCAAGUGUUUCUCAUUUUGUUUAUGUUGCAAUGACAUGUAAUAUGAUUUUCAAGUAUGAAUUGUAGCAGCUUAUGAGCCAACAUAAGAGCAUAGUAACCUCAGCAAUUCUUUUACCAUGAGCCAAGCUAUCCUUUAUCUCCUAGUGAUAGCUAAAACUGCAAGGAAGGUGCAGUACUGGUACUACAUAAUUUGAGGUCUUCAAUCUUGUCAUGAAAUAACUCUUGUCAAAACAUAAAUCUAUUAUGCGCAAAUAAUUAGAUCCACUGUGAUCAAGUGGCGCUAUAAGCAGCAAAUCCCCAUCUUUAUGUUUUUCUUAAUGACUUACAGCAGCUGCUACGUAAGAAACCGUAUGUUGACAUGCUCAAACAAUCAAGUCAGAUAAUCAAAAGGGAAACCACACCGACGGAGACUAUUGCCAUAUCUCACGCCAUAUCCCCAAGAUGGCAUCUCGUUCACAUUGAAAAGGAAUUGAGUCGGAUAAUCAGAGGGGGAAACACCAAGGCAGAACGUCACGUUUGAAAUUGAAUAGCUAAAUCAACAGUGCCAUAGAUCACAUGGUGCUUCAACAAAUUCGCAGGGAAUCGAAACUGGAAUUGACACAACACGCCUACCUAAUUUCAAAUGAAUGAUAUGUAUGAACAAACAACACCUCCCACUCCAUUCCCAGGGUGGGUAACAAACAAGAUGAUUAAUGAUUUUGGGAUGAAGAGGGGUGGGUACCCUUUGACUGGCUGCUCCCGGGGUUGUGCUUGCUCGCUCUUGGUGUUGAUGAAAAGAAAAGGAGAUCCUUCUUCUCCUCAGACGAUGAACACAUGAGCAGGCCGCCAGGCGAGGAGGUCGCGGUGAUGGGGGCGCAGACAUCCUGGUGGUCCUUCUUCUCCUCCAACGAGGAACCCAUCAGCAGAGUAGCAGGACGCCAGGAGAGGAGGUCUUCUGAUGAAGGGGGUGCUGACGUCCCGGUGGUCCUUCGCCUCCUGCGACGAACAUAUUAUAAAUAGAUUAGCGAAUUUAUUACUUAUCAGGGAGAUAUACAAGAGAAAAUUUGUCAAAAUAAACUAAAAACUACCUCUACGGUCUUAAAUUCUAGUUUCAUAACAGACUCUUUUGCAGCUUCAGGAUCUGCCUCCAAGCCUGCUGAGGAUGCCUUCAGUUUGUCCAUCUUGAACAACCGGUGAUAUGUCCUGGAUUUGAUCUUCUUCACACGAUUUGCUUUCUUUCAUUUCAUUACAUAACGUUAGGCUGCACAUCUUAGCAAGGCGAUCUUUAAGCUCUCUCACAUGUUCCACAUCCAUCUACACAAUUACAUGAACUUAUUUAGCAUAGCAACUUCUCAACUCUGAAGCUUGAAACAUAUUAUUAUCACAAAAUAUGCUCACCCAUUAAAACAAUAAGCAUCAACACUCACAAAGCACAUAACUGAACUAAUGAAGGUCAUCCUAAUUUCGAACAAACAGCACCACCCACUCCACUCCCAGGGUGGGUAACAAACAAGAUGAUUAUAGAUUUGGUGCGGAUGAAGAGGGUGGGUACUUGAGCUUGAGUGCUGGUUCGUGGUUGCUCGCUCUUGGUGUUGAUGAAGAGAAGAACCUCCUGGCGGCCCUUCUUCUCCUCUGACGAUGAACCCAUCAGCAGGCCGACAUGAGAGGAGGUCGUGGGGCUAGGAAGGUCCCGGUGGUUCUGCGACGAACCCAUCCGCGGAGCGGAACCACGUUGCAGGGUGAGCAGACAACCUUGCUCUCCCAGCGCAGUACAAAAACCCUGUUUUGAUUCAAACAACAUAAAAGAUCAAUCUCUUUAGAGCAUCUCCAACAGACGCCGAACGCGGCGCGCGCAAAAAACAGCUUUAGCGCGCGCCCAUCGCCUGGUUUGGCGCGGCGCGCUGCGCCCGCUCCAGCAGCCGCGCUAAAAUGCAGCGCGCGCGUGCCGCUCCAGCAGCGCGCAAAAAUGCAGCGCGCGCUCGUUCUACAAACUAGAAAUGUAGGCAUAGAUUUUAAAAAAACUAGAUAGAUUACAUAGAUUUUAAACGAUACAAAGGUAUUUUACAUCCGAAACAUAGAUUGCAUUAAAUAAAAACGACAAACGAUAAACAUAGAUUGCAUUAAAAAAAAACUACUCUAAGUCGCUAUCAUCAUCAUCACUAUCAUCCUCGGCGGUGUCAUCCGAGGUAGUUAGCCAGAUGUCCAGCCACCGCUCAUCGUUCGGCGUGAAGAACGAAUGCCCACCUGCUGCAACGAGGUCGGACUGCGCAUUCGCCAACGCCUUCCGCCGACGCUUGUCCAACCGCGUCGCAUGGCGCCUUCGCGUGUCCUCCUCGCGGCGCCUUGCCCAGUAGGCCUGCUCGUAGGCGACGUCCUCCGGGUGGCGCUGGCGCCACUCCGCCAUGACCCGCUCGUCCUCCUGGGCAACGAGGAGGCGGCGAUGCCGCUCGGCGUGCUCCACACGGUCUUCCGCCGUGUUCAGACGAGGUAGAAGGGCGAGGUUGAGCGCUUGCUGGAGCGUGUACACAUCUUGGAAGUUCAUCUGGCCGCGCGGCCGGCCUAGGCGCCACGCCACCGCGUCGUACGCGCGGGCGGCCUCGCGCGCCGUCCCGUACGAGUCGAGGCCGAGCCGGAGUUCGCCUGAGCGUAUCUCCGCGGAGUAGCUGCCGUUGGGGCGCAGGCGGACGCCGCGGUAGCCGGACGCUCCUCGGCGGCAUGGCGGCGCGUCGGUGGCGGGGCGCUGGAGUGGCGUGUCGGUGGCGGGGCGCUGGAGCGGCGCGUGGCAGAGAGGGGAGAGGAAGAGGAGAACUGGAAGCGUGGAGAAGGUGCGUGGCGCGCGCAACACUUUUAUAGGCGCGCGCGAAGCGGCGCGCCAAAUCUUGCACGCGAGCUGCCGCCUUUUCGCGCGCGCGCAUACGGUUCCCGCGCGCGCUUGUUUCCCGCGGCCGCUGGAGCGCGGCAAACCGCCCUGUGCGCGCUAAAAGCUGUGUUUAUCGCGCGCGCGCGUCGUUUGGGGCGGCUGUUGGAGAUGCUCUUAGCACAAGAAGCUUGAGAACAUAAGACAUCUACUCCCUCUGUUCCGAAAUAUUAAGUCUUUUUAAAGAUUCCACUAUAGACACUACAUUCGGAUGUAUAUAGACGCCUUUAAAGGUAUAAAUUCACUCAUUUUGCUCCGUAUGUAUUCUACAGUGGAAUCUCUUAAGAGACUUAUAUUUAGGAACGGAGGGAGUAUUAAGUAAAUGAAAAGCCAACCAGAUUUAGCAAGUUGCUCUAAUCAAAAUAAACAAAUGUAACAAGUAGUAGAUAUAGUCAAAAUGAACCAUAUUUAAAUAUCUAGUGCAGACUGCAGUAAGCCAUGCAAAAUUAAUCACAAUAACUUCAUUAAUACUCCCUCUGUUCCAUAAUGUAAGACGUUUUUUGACACUACAUUAGAGUCAAAAAACGUCUUACAUUAUGGGACGGAGGGAGUACUAAAUAGUAAGUGCUUUACUCUCAUUUUGUUUAUGUUGAAAUGACAUGUAGUGUAAUUUUCAAGUAUAAAUCAUAGCAGCUUAUAAGCCAACAAAAGAGCAUCGUAACUUCAGCAAUUCUUUACCAUGAGCCGAGCUAUCCUUUAUCUCCUAGUGAUAGCAAAAGCUGCAAAAAAAAAAGACCAAAUGCAAUACUGGUACUACAAAAUUUGAGGACUUCAGUCUUCUCAUAAUAUUUUUCUUGGAUUUAGGGUCAACAUCCUCGAACUAUGCAGAACAGUAAAUAACUAUUCUCGAAACAUAAAUUCGUUAUGUGUGAUUAAUUACAUCUAUUGUGAUCAAGUGGAGCUACAAGCAGCAAAUCCCCCGUCUUUAUGCUUUUCUUAAUGACUUAAGAAUAACUAAGUCAAAUAAUAUGCUACCUAAGAAUAAACAUAUGCUACCUAAGAAAGCAUAUGUUGAUAUGCACAAAUAACUAAGUCAAAUAAUCAAAGGGGGAACACACGGAGGGAGACUAUUGCACUGUAAUGGUUGGAUAAUAAAAUGGAGAUGGGCUCGUCCUUUUAAAACUAUAAAGUUGCCAUAUCUCACGCCAUAUUCCCUAAGAUGGAAUCUCGUUCACAUCGAGGAAGAAUUAAGUCGGAUAAUUAGAGCGGGGAAAACACCAAGGCCGAUCGUUGAGAUUGAAUAGCUAAGUUGACAGAUCAUGCAUGUUUUCUUUUCCACUAAAAAAUUACUAAUCGAUCAUGGUGGAAGCCGCAGGUUAUAUCCUGCCACUUCCAAGAAUGUGUAACAGCUAGUGGUCCAUGUUGAGCACACCCGAAUUCACAGCGCUUCAAAGGGCAUAAAUAGUUCAAUGACAACUGAGCACCCGAUGUAAAGUUUUGCCUCUUGUGUACUACAUACAUUCAGUGAGCUGUGCACAUAUCACUCCACCAUAUAUAAGAGAGAUGAAUGUAGUGGUCGAUGUGAAGGAUCUUCUGGUCGGUGCGAAGGAUAUGCACGCGUACAGGGCAGGAACACCUAAUUUUCUGUCGAUGCAAACACUCCUUGCCAAACUUAACAAUGUUAAACUGUUAUACACUUGGCGCGCCUACUGUUCCUACAUUGGAGGGCCAACGUAAGGCUACCUAAUUUGUCCCAAGAUAGGAUCACAAUGGUGUUGGCCCUGCCACGACAGCGAGUAUUUUUCCACGAUAACGGCGACACAAAGUUGGCUUGAUUUCUCGAGCAGACACGUACAGAGCUAGCCCCCCGCCUGAUCGAUGCUCCUGGGCCUGGAUGUAUCCUAGUGGUACGUACAUAUAGGAGCACUUCUAGCCGGUCUUUGCUCAGAUCGGUGUCACGCAGACAUGCCGAUGUAUUGAUCUGGUACUCUUUACAACGUAAGCAUGGAUUGAUCUCUAACAAAUGGCGCUUUAACAAAAUCACAGGGGACUAAAUCUGGAAUUGAUGCAGCAUGCCUGACUAAUUUGGAACGAGUGACCAAACAACACCUCCCGCUCCACUCCCAGGAUUUGACGGGGAUGACAGAUUUGAUGUACCUGUGCUUCAGUGUUGGGUGUUGGCUCAUCUUGAUCUUGGUGUCCUUUUCUCCUCCUCCGACGAACCCGUCAGCAGGAGGCCCGGACAUGAGGUCGUGGGGGGAUGAAGACGUCCCAGUGGCCCUUCUCCUCCUGCUGCGACGAACACAUCUGCGGAGAGGAACCGCGUCGUCGGGCGAGAGGCAACCCGGCUCUCCCGGCUUCAGGUCGAAGAAGCUUGGCGAGCGUGGCGGACAUGGCGUGCUCGAUCUGCAGCCUAGGUCAGACGUCAGAGAGAGUGGGGGCGGCGAUUGAAGGUGGAGGUGGAGGCGGAGGCGGAGGCGCAGGGGGCGUGGGAGGCAGGGAUGAGUUGAAUCGGCCUGGGAAGAGGACAUCGCCGUCGAUGGUGGCGCGGGAUGCGGCACACGGUGGGUGGAGGAUUUGGGGCGGGAGAUAGGAGCUGCAGGCGGCGGCGCUUGAUUGAUUCCGGCGGAUGCGGCGUGCGUUGGUUUGGCCGGCGAUUUCUCUUCCUUUUUCUCUCUCUUUUUGUUUUAUCAUUUCUUUUUGCUGCUUGGGAUGGGGUGGUUGCUUCAUUCUGAUUGGUCUUGGGGCACCUCCCACGGAUCGCUUCGGAUCCACUCGCUUCUACCCCAUCAUCAGACUAGCCACAAUGGAGAGUAACGUACACUACUCCCCCCAUCUAGAUGAGUAAGUCAUCUUAGAUUAUGCACUGUGACCAAGGAGGAGGGGAAAACGAAAGACCUUAAUAUUUAUUUGCUAAUUAUAAUAGCAUUGCAUGCAAUGAACUAACCACUGCAUGUCGUGUUUAGUAGUCUCAAGUCAUUAAAAGCAUGCACACUCCUCGUCUUUUAUUGGUUGAAAUGUCAAGAAACAAGAAACGAAGUAUAAAUUAAUGCACCGCGCUUAAGUGUUUUGGGAUUAUUUGAUUUUCGUAAGAUGACUUACACACCUAGACGGAGCGAGUAAUAACAUACACAUAUUCCUAAACUAUGUUACUACCUCAAUAGUGGGUAGUAACAUAAGUGUGGUAACAUGCAAAUCUUCAUUUAUUAGGUUAUAGACUCAUAUUGCAUUGGGACAUGUGAUAUUACAGUAACUUGCUAGUUACCAGUACUAUAUCUCUCCUCAUUAACUCAUUGUCACAUAAGCAAAUUUGUUGAGUUGGACUCGAUGUUACUACCGAAGUUACUCCCACUGUGGCUAGUCUCAAGAUGCACCCCUCGAUUACUCUUCCCGUAGUUAUUUCCAUUUGGCAUUCCACUUAUCACUCUGAUUGCUUGCUGAUUGUUCAACCUCAUGUGGCACGGAUCGAUCGGCCCCUUUAACUGAACUCAGUCAUCCAUUCACAUUAAACGACCCGUAGGUCACCCCUGAUUAGUAUGUAGCACGUACGUGUGUAUAGUUAGUUACGCAUGGAUGCAUGCAUGUGCGUUUGAAUGCACGUACAUGGAGUGUCAAUCUAAUUUUCUUUUUAAGAUCUUUUGUUAUACUCCCUCCGUCCCAUAAUGUAAUACGUUUUUUAACUCUAGUGUAGUGUUAAAAACAUUUUACAUUAUGGAACGGAGGGAGUAUAUAAGUAUGUACUCGUAGAUACAUGACAAAUAUUCAAUUGAAUGUGUUAGAGAUCUUAUUAAUGUUGUACGUGCUCCCUUCAUUUUCUUUUUAGUCAGCCACCUCAUCUGGCACCUCCAUUUCCGCCUCUACCACGUCUGCCUCCUUCGGAAGGCAAGCGGCAUGCAUCUCCUGCGGGGUUACAUGCUGACGCUCGGGCAUGGAAAUUUUAUAAUAUGGGAUGACCUUCUGCCGACGGCCCCACAAGUUUUCAUGUGCGUGUGGGACCCUUCUGUCGGCCCGGCAUGACAGAUGCGUGCGGGCGUCCCCAUAUUCGUCCCACAUAUGGGCUGAAUAUGUGAGGGUCCCACAUAUUCGUCACAUUUAAAGGGUCCGCUUGGGUGUCAUUUUUGUGCUUGGGCGGUGUCCGGACUGUCGGCCUAGGCGUUAGGGAGAAGUUGGGUGGAUGUGAAGUAGCAAGAGUGAGCACGCACAGGCAAAGGGAGAUCAUGGUGGUCACGACCACUUGGGGCUUCGCUUGGCUGCGAGGGGGGCCCGAUGGGCAGAUCCGGCAUGCGCGGUCUGCUCCAGCUCGACUCUUGGGCCAGGUGACGUGAUGAGCGCACCGUCUCCAUACCAGGACGAAAUGUCGUUGUCGGCCAGGGCACGGGACCGCACCACGUUGGAGAUGUCCAGACCUGUUUGGGAAAGAUUUGAUGUGCCAUGUUGGAGAUUCCCUUACCGAGCUAGACGGACGGAUUGUGAGAAUUUCGACAAGUUGUUUGCACUUUUGACCUAUUUCUCUACUUCUAAUGGAGCAGUUGGUAGCUCGCUUCCAGGUUUUUUUUCGUCCCAUCUCACCCGGUUUUUUUGGUACUUCUUUGGUACUUCCUCCCACCUCCCACCCGUUUUAUUUCGCUGGUUUUUUUCGUCCCUCCCCUACCCCACCGGUUUAGUUUCGCGUCACCCUCUCACACAACGAAAAAAAUCUGAACGGAUCAUAACUUUUCAUGCGUCACCCUCCCAUCAAUGCAAUUUGAUUUAGGAAACAUAUAAUAAAUUUUAAGGAAACAAAUAACAGACUUUAAAAAAAAUCCAAUUUUAAGGAAACAAAUCAAUCGAUCCAUCCAAAUCAAACGAUCCAUCUCAUCAAUGCAAUUUGCUUUAGGAAACAUAUAAUGGAUGUGAAGGAAACAAAUAAUAGACUAUCUAAAUCAAUUGAUCCAUCCCAUCAAUGCAAUUUGAUUUAGGAAACAUAUAAUAAAUUUUAAGGAAACAAAUAACAGACUUUAAAAAAAAUCCAAUUUUAAGGAAACAAAUCAAUCGAUCCAUCCAAAUCAAACGAUCCAUCUCAUCAAUGCAAUUUGCUUUAGGAAACAUAUAAUGGAUGUGAAGGAAACAAAUAAUAGACUAUCCAAAUCAAUCGAUCCAUCCCAUCAACGCUUCCAGGUUUUUUUUCGUCCCACCUCACCCGGUUUUUUUGGUACUUUUUUGGUACUUCCUCCCACCUCCCACCCGUUUCAUUUCGCUGGUUUUUUUCGUCCCUCCCCUACCCCACUGGUUUAGUUUCGCGUCACCCUCUCACACAACGAAAAAAAUCUUAACGGAUCAUAACUUUCCAUGCGUCACCCUCCCAUCAAUGCAAUUUGAUUUAGGAAACAUAUAAUAAAUUUUAAGGAAACAAAUAACAGACUUUAAAGAAAAAUCCAAUUUUAAGGAAACAAAUCAAUCGAUCCAUCCAAAUCAAACGAUCCAUCUCAUCAAUGCAAUUUGCUUUAGGAAACAUAUAAUGGAUGUGAAGGAAACAAAUAAUAGACUAUCUAAAUCAAUCGAUCCAUCCCAUCAAUGCAAUUUGAUUUAGGAAACAUAUAAUAAAUUUUAAGGAAACAAAUAACAGACUUUAAAAAAAUCCAAUUUUAAGGAAACAAAUCAAUCGAUCCAUCCAAAUCAAACGAUCCAUCUCAUCAAUGCAAUUUGCUUUAGGAAACAUAUAAUGGAUGUGAAGGAAACAAAUAAUAGACUAUCCAAAUCAAUCGAUCCAUCCCAUCAAUGCAAUUUGAUUUAGGAAACANNNNNNNNNNUUUGGGAAACAUAUAAUAAAUUUUAAGGAAACAAAUAACAAACUUUAAAAAAAAUCCAAUUUUAAGGAAACAAAUCAAUCGAUCCAUCCAAAUCAAACGAUCCAUCUCAUCAAUGCAAUUUGCUUUAGGAAACAUAUAAUGGAUGUGAAGGAAACAAAUAAUAGACUAUCCAAAUCAAUCGAUCCAUCCCAUCAAUGCAAUUUGAUUUAGGAAACAUAUAAUAAAUUUUAAGAAAAUAAAUAACAGACUUUAAAGAAAAAUCCAAUUAACUAAUCUCUACUCUUAAAGGCCCCUCAAUUGAUUUUUGUCCCUCGCUUCCUUUCCCAGCACUUAUACAAUGGAAGGAAUUAUAAUCCACCUAUUUGUUCUCCUAUAUAUCCGUGCAGGAAACACAACAUAAACCGGUGAAAAAAACACUCACCUCGCACGUCCCCCUGCCUGCAAUCCCGAAACGCCGCCAUCGCUCCAGGCUCCAGCCUCCGCCGUCCUACAUCUUGCCCCUCUCCAACCUCAGAGACCUCCGCCACCGCCGCCAUCUCGGAACCCCAGUUCAGGGCAGGACUCAGAGAGGGUGUGGCUGUGGACGACGCUGCCGCCGUCGCAGAACCCUAGGGCAGGGCGUGGUCGCGUUGCGGGCAGCGCGAGCGGCCGUGCGUCUCCCCCGUCAGGCUGUCCUCGGCAGGAACUCAGGACCUCCUCCUGACAGAGCUAAGGCCCUCCGAGGUCCAAGUCGCUGUGCGGCGUGCACAGUAAUCUCCCCGGCCUACUCUGUCUUCACGUCAAUGCUCAUGUGCUCCGACCCUCCCCGACCCCUCCCAGCAAGCAGCAGAGUCUCUCGGGUUCGAGCUCCACCGGGCCGGCGGCGGCGGCGUCCAUGUUCGUUGGGCGGAGCACAACGCUAGGUUUGAAAUUCACCAUGAUGCUACUGAUGAGGCUCUCCUUCUCCUUUGUUUCGUCUGGGUUUUUUCGUCCCCCCUCCCACCACCCCAUCUCGUCUGGGUUUGAAAUCAAUAAGAGCAGCACAAAGUCUAGGUCCCUGUCUCGGUGGCAGACGGAAGGAGAAGAAUGAUUGAUAUGUAUGAGAAUAUUAAUAUUGAACUCUUAAAGUUAAUGUGGCCCCGUUGCAACGCACGGGCGUUCUUCUAGUGUUAUUUAAAGGGUCGCGCUAACUGCCACACGUGUGGCAGGAAGGGAGACGCACCACACGUCUCUAAUGUAAACGGAUUGGCAUGUCAUCGCAUGCAUGCAUGCAGAAAUCUUUUUGGAUUUUCAAUUUUUAAAAUGUUUUAUCUCUUAAACGAAAAAUCCGAUUGAAAAUCCGUUUUGAUCAUUAAAUCCCUCGCGAUGAGAUCUUCGAAACUAGAUCCCAUGUUGAUAUAUUUUGAUGAAAUUUUUUUUGGAUUAAAAAUUGUCAUGUCUAUUGCAUAUGAAUUGCCAUGAUGUUUACACUGAAGUUGCCAUGAUAUGUUUCAGCUAUUUUCUUCUACAUUUAAAAGUAAAUUUUGACAUUUAUAAAAUGGGGAAUUAAGAAACUAGACUUGCCAUGAACCAUAAACUAAAAUUGCCAUGAUACAUGCACGUAAAAUUGCCAUGGUUCAUACAAAAAAAUAAUUUUCAUGGUCAAAGUACUGGAGUUGCCAUCAUCAAAAUACUAAAAUUGCCAUGAUCUACAAACUAAAAUUGCCACAUGACAACUUUAGUUUAAGCCCUAUGGCAACUGCAGUGUAAACAUCGUGGCAACUUCUGGCAAAAAAAAAUCGUCGAAACAUAUCAACAUCACUACCAGAAACGUGACUAAGCGUGUGGGCUAGUAGCCGUCAGGAAAAGAAAUAUGGCUGUCAGGAAUAUAAUUCAUGUCGGCCAACCGACAGGAACAACCCACAGCCAUAGCCUGCCAGGAAUGAAUGAGUAUGCCUGACGGAUGGCCCACAGGAAUAUUAAUGCUGUCGGUUAUCCCUGACGGUUGGCGCACAGGAAAGAAAUGUUGCGUCAGAUUUAUGCUUCCCGGAAAAUACAUAUUCCUGUCGUCCACCUGUCAGGAAAGACCGUCAGGAAGGACUUAUACCUGUAGGUUCAACCGACAGGAAAAUUAUACUAGGUUGCUGCAGCACGCGCUCAUUCCUGUGAGCCGUUGGCCGUCACGGUUACAUCAUGAUGUUGAUUUUUUAUUUCAUAUUCCUACCACAAAAGCAAUGUGCUUAACCCAGGUUCUACAAAUGUUGCAUUAUUUCACAGAAACCAUAUGAGAAUAUAUUUAUAUGACAACAUCAAACUUCAUAUAGCAUCAUCAGUUCCAUACGUAUAUAAUUACACUACAAGGCUACAAAGGUACCAUCCACAAAAGGAUCUGCUAACUACAAUAAUACUAGCAAAAUACACCGGCUUGCAACUACCACCAGAUGUAUCAACAUCAGUUCCAUACAUACACUACAAGGCUACAAAGGUACCAUCCACAAAAGGAUCUGCCAACUACAACAAUACUAGCAAAAUACGCCGGCUUGCAACUACCACCAGAUCUUAGUUCUCAUUCCUAAGCCAUACCAGAUACACAAGUCCACAAAAGAGCAUAUUACGACCACAUAUAGUCUGAUGUUAUCAUGUUGAUUGAGCAAUCAGUUUCCGCCAUGGUUGGCUGCGUCAACGGUCUGAUCGCCGACAUUCCCAGCGGCUUCAUCCUCCUCGCUUGACUCCAUGACAUCAUUGUUGCCAUCAACCGCUUGCGAGCCGGCUUGAGAUGAGUUAUUUGUCCCCUGAAUCAAGAAGUAACCUAAUUGUUAUUUAAUCUGAUUUAGAACAAUAAAAAUACAAUACUUUGUUGGAUAACAAGUGGAGACAACAUAACCAAAUGAACCAAAUAAUAUCCAUUUAUUGAUUAAUGCUUGGCACCAAGAACUGAUUUUGUCUAGGCUACUUUCAAGUUCCAAUCAAUGGACCUUAAGCAUGACAAGCAUUAUUUAUACGGAAAUUGGGCACAACAGCUAAAGAAUCUUGUGAGAAUAGACAAGCUCACAGAUGCAAACAUCCAAACAAAUUAAUACAAAACAUGAAAAACAAUCUCAUAUGCAACACAGUGUUGAUAUUGCAGCCACAUCAACGUAGACAUGUCAGAAGGAACGCACAAAACUAAGUUGAGUAGUGGACAUCACACAUUCAUCCAUAUGAUAUAUACAACUUCAAGUUUCUCAUACACUUACUUCUGGUUGCGAAACAGCUCCAUGGCUUAGUAUAUGUAGUAUAUGAGCCGGCAACUCUUUUCCUAUCUCCUUGAAAAGUGCCUGCAAACAAAGAAGAAAUGUUACUAGAGUUGAUACUUGAGAAGUUAAGAUCCAUUGCUUUAGAAUGUGGGCAUGAAUUUGUACAUACAGUUAUGAGCUGCCCAUGCAUAUCUACUUUCUGCUGUAGCAUCUCCUUAGCACGCCUGAGUUCUGCAUUUUCUUCAUUAACACGCCUGAGUUGUUCCUUCUCUCGAAUGUGAGCGAAAUUGAUGCACUAGCAUUUCUUUUUCUAGCUGCUGAUUUAAUAUCUGCUUUCUUAAUAGCCCCAUCGGUUUUGAGCAAUAUCCUCAGAUUUCAAGCGAGCUUCUCGUCCCCUCCCCCUGUUGGUCUUGUAUUCCUUUGAUGUCCAAUAACGACAUAGUCCAGGCCAUGCAACUUCCUUGCACCAUGGUAUCCUACUCUGGAGGUAUUGCUCAUAUUCGAGUUCUCUUGCACAAGCCAUCGAGUCAUCAAGCUUCUCUCCUUGAUUCUCAUAGUAAAGCUUCACAGCAUCCACACGAAGUUGGUACAACAUGUCUUUCACCUUUUUCCUUGCAUAUGUGUCAAUAAUCCGGUUAGCCUCUUGCUCAAUUUGGAUUCAGGCACUGUCAUCUUCCUCGUCAUCCACAUGCAGCUCAAACAAGUUCUACAUGUUCAGAAAUUUACAGAUCAGACUUUUACAGCAAUACAAAGAUAUGUAUAAUAAUAAUUGCAAUUGCUCCAAAAAAAUUCUACUUACCCAAAACUCUUCCUUCACACGAUCUGCGGCUGUCCGCUGCUGAAAAUCUAGAGUCGAAUCAUGAUAGUAAUCGUACCACUCCGGAAUGAAGCCACGAAAUGCAACUGGUAGCAGCCGUUCCAUGAAGAUAUGGUAAUCAUGACUUUUAAGCCCAAAAAUCUUCCUUUGCUGGAAGCUAACUCCUCUUUUAAAACCCGCUCCAUAUCCAUCGGUAAAUUUCAGCUCUUUAAACCAUUUAAGAAUGGUUAACCUAUCAUCUUUCUCAAUGACAAACGGUGCCCUUGGCUUGAACCACUUCCCAUUGUCCUUCAAAUGCAAAUGCUGCUUAGGGCGAUGGCAUAUUUCUUCUAGAUCUUUUCUUGCCUUCACAUUAUCUUUAGUUUUAUUAGGAAUGUCAAAGCAUGUGUUCCAUAUAGCUUCUGCUACAUUUUUCUCAUUGUGCAUCACAUCGAUGUUGUGCCUAAGCUUCAGUUUAUCAAAGUAUGGAAGAUCCCAAAAGCAGCUUAUGUGGGUCCAGUUGUGCGAUUUAUUAUAGUUAUCUGUGUCAUAUACAUUUGCAACCAUGUGAGCUCGCACUUCCUCCCCUGUCAAACGCCUUGGUGGCCCCUCAAGCACUAUUGUAUCCUUUCUAAACGAAUUGGCUUGGGUUCUGAACUCAUGGUCAGGAGGUAGAAAGCGCCUAUGACAAUCAAACCAGCAAGCCUUACGCCCAUGCGGAAGUGUAAAUGAUUUUGAAUCACUCAAGCAUUCUGGGCAAGCUAGCUUCCCAUGAGUGCUCCACCCAGCAAACAUACCAAAAGCAGGGAAAUCAUGGACUGACCAUAGAAAAGCUGCUUUCAUUAAAAAGUUUCUCUUCACAGAGGCAUCCCAUGUAUUAACCCCCAGCCACAGUUCCAUAAGCUCAUCUGCUAAUGGUUGCAUUAGAAUGCCCAAAUUCUUUCCAGGAUGUUCUGGACCAGGUAUCACAAGACUAAGAAAUAUAAACUCUGGCUUUAAGAGAAAACCAGGGGGGAGGUUUAACGGAGCUACAAACACUGGCCAACACGUGUAUGGAGCAGCAACCAAACUAUAUGGUGUAAAACCAUCUGUAGCUAUGACAAGUCGCACACUUCUCGGAUCACAUGAGAAUUCUGGAAAAUCCUUAUCAAAAUCUUCCCAAGCCUCACCAUCAUGUGGGUGGACCAUCUUAUCAGACCCGGAAGGAGUGUGAGAACGCAUAAGCUUUGCGGUCUCCUCAUUGGCAUACAACCUUUGCAAUCUAUCUUUUAGAGGGAGGUACCGCAAAACUUUACGUGGGAUUUUCUUUUGGCCUUCCUCGUAACGAGAUGUGCCACAAAAGUCACACUUCUCUUUAUGUUUGUUAUCUUUGUAAUACAACAUGCAAUUAUUUUUGUACACAUCUAUUUUAACAUAUGGCAUACCAAGACCUUCUAAGAGUUUCUUGGAUUGGUAGAAGUCUUCGGACAAAUUAGAUUCAGGAGGCAAAAGUUCAUGGAUUAUUUUUAAGGUAUCAUCAAAAUGUGCAAUGGACAUGUUGUAUUGUGAUUUCAUAGCCAGCAAGCGAGCUACAGCAGAAAGACGUGUGUGUUUUGUAUUCUCAUGUACCAAUUCAUCGGCACUACUGACCAUCCUAUAAAAAGCCUUGGCAGAGGAGGUUGGCUCCUCAGUAACCGGUGGAGGAUGGCUACCACCUAAGUCAACCAACAUAUUGUCCAUUCGAUCAGUUUCAUUACAGCCCUCUUGAUGAUGUACUAAAGGGACAGAUCCAUCAGCAGCAGCUACAAAACUCUCACCAUGUUCUGUCCAGGUUUUGUAAUUUGGCUUAUACCCAUGUUUAUACAAGCGUUUCUCUACAAUGUGCCUUUCUUGCGGAAAAUAAUUCCGACAUUUGGCGCAUGGACACUUAAUUUUACCACCUUCAGCUACGGAAGAGAAGGCCCGGUCUAUAAAUCGUGCAGUUCCUUCAAGCCAUAUAUUAGAAGGGACUUGACCAAACACCCAUCCACUAUACAUCCAAUCACGGUUCUCCAUUAUUUAACCAAGAAUUCAUACUGAAAUAAAAUUCACAGAAAUGGGGAUAUUUGAGAAAAAUAAUAGCAUACUAAAGGGCAGCAGCACAAAUAACAAUUCACAAAAAGACAAUUGUUUCAGACAUAAAUUUAAGAGCUCAAAGCUAUAACUUACCAAUAUACUUGUUCAAGCUGGGAAAUUACGGCGUCGAAAAGGGUGGCUAGCCAACUCCCCUAGCUGUUUGCCGAUGUUUCUGGAAAAUUAUACGUGUUAAAUUCACUUUACUAGAAUAAAAUAGAUAGCAGGUAGAUGUCAUAGAAGCUACAACCUAGAAAAAAUAAACACUUAUAUGGUCAUGUACAGAAGCUACAACAUGUUAGCUGUUCAGUGAGGUUGCUACAGACGCUACAACAUACAUCUAAGAACAACAAAAACUAAUCUGUUCAAAUCAACCGUAUACUAAUCAGACGUGCCUAAAAUAGUUUCAACUAAGCUUAAACGCUACACAAGAAAUAGAGCAAGCAAAUCUUAGAUCCAGGAAAAGGAGGUGAUAUAUUACCAGAGAUAAGAAGACAGAGGGCUUGUGAUGCAGCGAGCAGAGGAGUACGGACAGCCAGAGGUGAAGAUGUGUAAAGUCGAAUGGGGGGACUAGUACGGGAGCUCGGUGGGGAGGCGGGUGCUGGUGCUCCGGCGGGUGGCGAGGUGGAGACCAGCGCUACGCCGGUGGUGAGGCAGAUGCGGGCGGAAGAACGGCCUUCCGCGGGAAGGGGAGGCAGCAGCGGUGGUGGACUGGAGGAUGGUCUGGCGGCGGCUGCGGCGGUGGACCGGACGAUGGUGGAGGCGGCAGUGGACCGGACGAUGGUGGCGUUGGACAGGGCGAUGGUGGCGGCGGCGGUGGAGUGGCAGGAGACUGAAUUGGGGAUCGAGGGUUCUGGAGACUGAACUAGGGAUCGAGAGGGUUCUGUUAGCCCUCUCAUUUUGUACUGGGCCUAAUUCUGUGAGCCCAAACACACAGGAAAAUAGAAAAAAUGGAUGGGCCUCGGCUAAAAAUGCGCGAGCAAUGAAAUUCGGUGGCGCGAAGUGAGAGCCCGAGGGCGCGAAGGGCCGAAAGCUAUUUCUGUGGGCCUCGACCCACAGGGAUAUAUUCUUCCUGUGCGUUUACUCAAAGCCUACAGGAAUAUAGUGCAAAAACCUGUCGGCUACAGCCCGACCUACAGUAAAACGGUACUUUCCUGUGAGCUUACGUGGGGCUGACAGGAAUAUAAGUUGGCUCACAGACUUAGUCGCGAUUCUGGUAGUGCAUGGGGUCUAGUUUUGAAGAUCUCGUCGAGACGGAUUUAAUGGUGAAAACAGAUUUUUAGUUCGCUUUUUUAUUUAGGAGAUACAACAUUUUAAGCCGAAAAGCCAAAAAAAUUCUGCUGAUGUCAUCUAUUCAUACGUGGCAAAAUGAGUGGUGAUGGAGUCGUGUGGGCGAUGUGCAAACGCCCACACGUGUGGGCGUUAACAUUUUCGUAUUUAAAUGUGGGCCAGUUUUAGCGUGCAGUUUCUUUGGCCUUUCAAAAAUACUUCCUCCGUUUCGAAUUACUUGUCGCACGUAUGGAUGUAUCUAAAUGUAUUUUAGUUCUAUAUACAUCUAUUUCAGCGACGAGUAAUUUGAAACGGAGGAAGUAAUAAUUGAUGAGGGCAACGACGUUUUUCUUUGGUUGUUUGAUUGAGGGAGUAGGCGGGGCCGAAGUCAGUCAGUCGAUGCUUCAAAUAUAGAGCCAAACGGAGAAGAGAGAGAGAGAGAGAGACCGGGCGGAGGAUUUGUGCAAAAGUCAAACAAACGUCUUUUGGUAUGGGCUGACGACUCCUUCCUUAAUUUUCGCGUGCGCGGGUUUUCCUUGUUUGUUGUGCGAUUUGCGAACGAAGGAAGGAACAGGCAAGUUCCACAUCCUCUCGCGCGUAGUAGCCGCUGUUCUGCCUCAUGGACCACCGCAAGCGGCUCCCCCAAACACCUGGCCGGCUUCUUCUACAACAGCACCAACGGGUACCGCUUCCUGAUACCAACCGUGCACUUCGUCAAUGCGUCCGGGAGGGGUCGCCCUUUCAUCUGCCCUUCUUUAGCCUUCCUGCCCAGCCACCGCCGCCUCGACCUCUUGGACUGCAGCAACCGCCUCCUCCUCUGCCGCCGCUAAGACGCCUCCGCCGGAGGCGACGAGUUCCGGUACGUCGCGUGAAACCCCGUCACGGAGGAGUGGGCGGCGUUGCCUGACCCCGGUCAGGCCGCAGGCAAAUUAGUGGACACGGUGCGUUUGGGGUUCGAUCAGGCCGUGACCGCCCACUUCCAUAUGUUUGUGCUGCUAGUGGAUGCGAGCCGCUACUUCAUCGGAGUGGAUGUUUGCUCGUCGGAGACUAGCGGAUGGAUUCACAAGGACAAGGGAUUGGGCCGAGAUUUCAGGCUCGCCGGUCCUCGGCCGGCAGCUGUCUUUCGUAACGGCUAUUUACAUUUUCGCACUAUUUGUGAUUGUUGGGCAAUAAGCCACGGCUCGGACGGGUCAGGCGCGGUGCGCGUAUGUGCGUGCAGUGGCCGCGCUGGGUCUGACCGUGGCGGGUUCGGGUGUGUGUAUGUGCGCGUGUCCGAGGGCGUGUGUGUGCGUGCGUGGGUUGUUAGCGAGUAGUCGGGGAGACCGCGUCGAGCGCUAGGAGUGGCCGUGGCGAUCGCAUUGAAGCGCGUCGUGUGCGCGAGCCGUAGCGUAGGGAGUGGGAGGUGGGUGCGUCGGUGCGCGGCCCAGCGUGUCUGAGCGCGCGGAUAUAAGAUCCCCUCCAUGCCUGUGUACUCGCUGCCCAGUUUGAGUUCGAGCUCAAAGAGAAAAACAGAGAAGCCGUACGUGCGGUGAAGGUGUUUGUGCGCCUGAAAAUUUUCUGUGUUCAUCCUCUACCCCUCCGACCUUGUCUCCGGUGAUCACCGGCGAGUAGUGGAUCCAUUCCUGCAACAACAUUUGGUAUCAGAGCGAGGUGUGAGAGAGAGACGUCGGCGGCCAUAGCGCUCGUCCCGUACGCCGGAGGAUCAGGGAGCUCGGUGUCGCAGCCGGUACCCAUGCUCACAGGGGUGAACUACACCACCUGGGCCAUCAAGGUGGAGGCCGACCUAGACGCCGCCGGGCUCUGGGAGGCGGUGGUGCUGCCGGUGGACGCGGCCGCGGCGGUGAUCACCAAGAAGGAUAAGCCGGCGCGGGCUUAUCUGCUGCGGGCGCUCGCCGACGACCUGCUGCUGCAGGUUGCUGCGAAGAAGACGGCGGUGGAGAUAUGGGCGAGUCUCAAGACUCGGUUCGUCGGCGCGGACCGGGUCAGGGCGGCGCGGCUGGCUACACUACGUGGCGAAUUCGAGCUCCUUCGCAUGACGGAUGACGAGACGCUGGACAACUGCACCGGGAGGAUCGGGGCCAUGGCGGCUCGCUAUGCCGGGCUCGGAGAGACACUUGAAGACGUGGCAAUGGUCAAGAAGGUCCUGGACACAGCGCUGGACCGCCUAUACGCGGCGGUGGCUGGCAUUGAGCAAUUUUGCACCGUGGAGACCAUGCCAUUCGAGGAGGUGCUCGGCCGGCUCAAAGCGUUCGAUGAACGUCUGCGGCGACGUGGGCAAGUCGACGGCGAGCGGGCGGAUGGCCAGCUCAUGCUCACGGAGGAGCAGUGGCGUGCCAGGGAGCGCCAGCGCGGCGACACAUGGGACGACGGCGAUCGGAGGAGCCAGGCGUCGGGCGGCGGAGGAGGACGGCGAGGUCGCUGCUACAACUGCGGCCAAAGGGGGCAUUUCAAGCGUGACUGCACUCGUCCGAAGAAGGCGGCAGCGGCGGCGGAGCAAGCACUAUUGGUGAACGCCGGCGUGGAGAACGACGGCCUGCUGUAGGUCGUGGCUUAGGAGGUGAUAUGUUGGGCAAUAAGCCACGGCUCGAACGGGUCAGGCGCGGUGCGCGUAUGUGCGUGCGGUGGCCGCCCUGGGUCUGACCGUGGCGGGCUCGGGUGUGCGUAUGUGCGCGUGUCUGAGGGCGUGUGUGUGCGUGCGUGGGUUGUUAGUGAGUAGUCGGGGAGACCGCGUCGAGCGCUAGCUAGGAGUGGCCGUGGCGAUCGCGUUGGAGCGCGAGCCGUAGCGUAGGGAGUGGGAGGUGAGUGCGUCGGUGCGUGGCCCAGCGUGUCUGAGCGCGCGGGUAUAAGAUCCCCUCCAUGCCUGUGUACUCGCUGCCCAGUUUGAGUUCGAGCUCAAAGAAAAAAACAGAGAAGCCGUACGUGCGGUGAAGGUGUUUGUGCGCCUGAAAAUUUUCUGUGUUCAUCCUCUACCCCUCCGACCUUGUCUCCGGUGAUCGCCUGCGAGUAGUGGAUCCAUUCCUGCAACAACAGUGAUCGGCGUCCUUGUAUAGCCGCCGUGGACACUAAGGGAGAAUCAUGGUUGAGCUUCGAUACCCCUUGUAGUGGUAAUGUGUUUCUUGAUUUCAUUCAAUCGUCACAGGGCCGCUCACAUUAUGUCAUCUUGAACGCUAAAUACAAUUUUUAUAGUGAUAUUAAACUAGAAGUUUACGCUCUCGACGGAUAUGCCGGCAAAGAUUGGAAACUGAAGCACAAAGGUCAAAAUGGAGACGUCAAAAAGUUUCGAGGGGUUGUUCAACGUUACUUUGAAUGGACUGCGAUUGAUCUAGAAUGUAACUCGAUCUUCUUCACAGAUAGGCCACUUAUUAAAACAUUAAGGUGUUAUGAUAUGGAUCGUCGAAAAUUGAGAAAGAUAAACACACUUGGGGAGGCCCAGACACCAUAUCUGCCAUAUGUGCCGCUAUACUCAGAGUUGGAAUCUUUGCGUUAGUGGCAUCAGUCUGUGACCUCCGACGCGUUUUUUUAUGAGGUGGUUUUUUGACAGGAGUCAAUCGUUUGUGCUAUGGAGCAGUGGGCUCAGCAUGUCAGCUUGGAUAUAGUUCUCGGCUUUUGAACAGGAGUGUUUGAAUGUCUGCAUGUUUUUAAGUUUGGAGCAAAAGUGGUUCUGUGUGGAGGCAACUAGGACGACCUCACUUAGAUUAGUUAUUUGAUGAAUUUGCACUGAACUUUCAGUACUGGUUUCUUCUUAUACAUAUACAUAUGGUAAAUGACACUGUGACCUCCACGUGUUUGGUUAACCACGUUUUGUGUUUGAGCGAAUGUAAUGUGUACAGCGGUCAGCGGAUAGCUAGUAAAAAAGCCAUGAUGGAUGUCAUGUAGCUUAAACCGAUAUCUUCAGCUUGCAGUUUGGGGAAGUAUAAGCAUGCAUGCUAGUGACAUUGACCUAGUAAAACGAGCCCUUGUUUGCUAAUGAUAUAAUCUCCUGACAGUCACUUCCUUUUAUGCUCAUUACUUGUGGCAUGUUUUAAAUAGGUAAUGUGGCUUGCAAAACAUAUAUACACCUAGCUGUGCUUGGAGUUUUGGACCAUAAUAUCAAACUUGUGUGAAACAACUUACUUUUUUUCAGGCAAAACAUUGCUCAAAAGUACCGGGAAUACAUCCUAUUUGCUACUUGUAAGGUAGCAGUUGGCUCACAAUUUUUUGCACAACUGAAAAUAACGCAGAUGCUCCACUCGACCACUGCAACUUCAGAAUGUUUCUUUCUGAUUUCUGAUGCUCUAUAAUAGUACUAAAAUAGCACAUCGCCGUCGUGUAAAUGAUUGAUGAACUAAAAAUGUAGGAUUGGUGGUCAACACAAUGGGGAGAAAUUAGAGUCUCAUGGUCUUGCUGUCGUACAAUAUUUACAAGAAACACUCACGUCUUUAGCCGUUGAGUCAGGAUUUGGGCGCUUCAAAUGUGUGUCAAUUUCACAAUUUUCCUUCCAAUGGUUGUGGGAUUAGGAUUCAUUCUCCCAUAAUCACUCCCGUAACGAACAUUUCAAACUCAAUACGUGUUCUCUAAUUACUAAACAAUUUCAAUUGACAUCGACUUUUCUUGUUUUGUACAUGUGCUAUUUUUAGAUUAGAAAAAAUGUACUUAUUUUGUAGUCCCUCCAUAUCAAAAUAUAAGACGUUUUUGUAGGCUAGUACAGUCUACAAAAACGGCUUAUAUUUUGAUAGAGGGAGUAUUUAUGUGCAGUGCGUUAAAUUUUCAAACCAUAACCAAUAUAUCAAAUUAAUUUUGUGUGUGUUUCUAACUUGAUGGUUUCUAGUUUGAGAAAAAAAAUAUCCUUGUUUUUCUCUAAAAACACAUGUUUUCUUAGUCUUUCCACCUCGGUAAUAUUUAAGGUUAUUGUACAUGUAUAAACAAGAAACUCUACCUCUAAAUGCAAACAUAUCUAUUGUUUAUUUUUUUUUAUUUUUUUUCAUGUUCUAGUUUCAUUUAUGUUAGCCAGAUGUGCUUUGCAUUGUGGCUUGUAGAUAAAAAAGGGAACCAGUCGUUGACUUGCUCUUAUUUUCGUGCAACUCUAGACAAUUUCCAAAAUACAUAAGUCCUCGAGGUUAAUUUGGGUUUUAUGAUACGAUAGUCUAAUAGACUCCCCGAGAGAACCAACAAGCACAAGCUGGAGGAACAAGAGCAAUAAAGGAUGUUGCUCCAGUACAUUCUAUACACCAACCCCUAAAAUAGGAAGACACCAGAAAGUCCCCCCUUCCCUUCCAUGUCCCUUCUCCUAGGUGUGGAAAAGGCAGCUACUUUCCAUAGUUUUGCAUCGGAUGAAGAAACUCUCCCUCCGUGCACACACCACCUCGAAACUCUCCCUCCGUGCACACACCAUCUCUAUCCUCUCGGCUACGGGCUACCACUUCUAAGCCUCACUAGUGCAAAACCGAGCUAUAGCACCAGUUCGUAAGGGCUUUUAGUGCCGGUUGUGUAACCGGCAUUAAAGGAUGGGGACUAAAGGUUCCCCCCCUAGUACCGGUUCGUCACGAACCGCCACUAAAGUGCCACCACGUGGCACGAGGCAGGGCCGGUUGGUGUUACCAACCGGUACUAAAUGUUCAUGUGGUUUUGUUUUUUUAUUUUUCUUUUAGUUUUGUGUUUUCAAUUUAAUUUAGAGAUUGUUUUUACAUUAUAAUGAGUUGUUAAAUCAUUAGGUGAAAGUACCCAUAGAUUAGUUUCAACUGGAUGCAUGCAUGGAUCCUAGCUAAGUGAUCAAAUUAUAUAUGCCAUAUCCAUAUAUAUUACUUGAUCACUUAUAUUAGGUGAGCAAUUAAUUAAUAUGGAUAUGACAUAUAUAUACUUGAUCACUUAGCUAGCUAGGAUCUAUCCAGUUGAAACUAAUCUGCGGUUUCUUUCAUAAAUAAUAUAAUAACUCAUCAUCAUCAUAUUAAUAUAAAAACUAUUGCAUCACAUAUAUCAUCACCAACAAGUUAACGGUAUACUAGCUAGCUAAAAAUCAUUAUAGUCGUCAUUACCACUACUUAAUCAUCAUAGUCAUUACCGCUAUGUAAUCACCACCAAUACCAGCUUAAAGAAGAAACAUUCACUUUGUACCAGAAGGAAAGAUAUCAUCGAGUUCAACAUGAUCACUCUUUGAGAUUAAGUUCAGGACGAAGAACACAGACAUGAGAGGACAAGUACUAAGAGCAUGCUAAUCACUCCUGCUGCUCUCUCUCAGGUGAAAUGGCAUAGAACAUGUGUAGUUGUCCGGAUUCAUCAUAUUGGAGCAUGCAGAUGAACCUGUCUCCUAAUCGUGAGUUGCGCUUCUGCUUGUUGACUCCUAGUACUUCUCUGCGAUCAUUCACAAUUUUGCUCCAGUCUUUCACUAUUAAGCAUUCCUCGGUUCUAGAAAUUUUGAAUGCACUCGUGCGCAAUGUAGGAUGUCUUGGCCGUAAGCUAACAAUUGACACACGACCGUUAGUCGAGAUCCACUGAGGCACAACUAUCAUCGGGAGUCCCUGUUGAAGAGAACAUCGUAUAGUAUCAUACUUAGCAACAUGAAGUUUAGCUUAAAAAAUGAUGUAUGCAAAAGAUGCAUGGAGGACAAAUAGUAAAAAUCUUACCAUCUUACCAUCUUUCCUAAAUACAUGUGACCGUAGUUCAAUAUGAACACUAUUGGUCGCACGUUUUGAGUACUAAGAUUUGCAAGUCUAGGAAAAUAUUUUCUCUUGGCAGCAUCAAGAUCCUCAAGCAAUGAAACACAUUGAUUUAUCUCCUCGUAGUUUAGUUCAUCACCGGGACAGUGGAUGGUCCUGUCUACCAAGCGCAGGACAUGUUUGCUUGAAUGGAAAUAAGUUGUCAAUAGAAAUUAGUUGUCAACUAUUUUUCAAAAAACAAUAUCAACAUAAAUAUGGCAUGAGAAACUCACAUAAUGGUAGAACUGGAGGCGUGUUCCCAUCGACCCAAAUAUCUCUAUUACCUUCAAUAUCAUCUUCGUGACGAAUAUCAAAGGUGAUAAACAUAUCAAGCUCAAAUGCAUAAGCCUUGCAUAGUGCUUGCCAAGUUUUGCAUUCAAAAUGGGUGUAGGUUUCUUGAUUGUAUAAUUUGACGUUGAAGGUAUAACCAUGCUCGGUCUUCAAGUAAACUCUCUUUACCUCCAUAGUUUUGUCACGACUGAAACCUAUCUUAUCCAAAACAAAAAUUCUUCCAUGGUAGGGGAUACGCUAGUAGAAUAGUGAAAAUUUAAAAUAAUAAGUUGAAACAAAUGAAGCAUAAAUAAGUCAUGCUUAAUUACAAAAAAAGACUUGUCAUUGUGACUUACUGUAUCCAUUUCGAAGGUCUCAUCCAGCUUGAUGCUGAAGCGCCUAUCAUCAACUAGGAAAUUUCUGUCGCACAGGCCGCGUUGGUCUUCGUAGUCUUUGCACAUAAUGAAAUCAUUUUCGUCGUCAGACGACAUUUCUUAUAUUCGUAGGUGAAACAUUAAACACUUAUUAGUUAUAUAUUAAUUCAACUAAUUAGACUAGUUCUAUUAAUUCAACUAGCUAGUUCAACUAAUUAAUUCAACUAAGCACUUACUAAAAAUAUACCUAAAUAAAUUAUAGCUCCUAAUUCAACUUAUUCAACUAAUUAACUAGCUCAACUAAUUCAACUUAACUAGUUCUAUUAAUUUUCUUACUAAAAAUAAAGUAGCUAGUUCUAUAUACUAAAAUUUUAAUUAGAUGAUAAAAUCUCAUAUACCUAAAUUUAAUAUAUAUUAAUUCAUCUAACAUUAAUAUAAAUUCAUCUAUAACUAAAAGUAUAAAAAACUAACUUUCAUCUAACAUUAUUGUUGGGGAACGUUGCAGAAAACAAAAAUUUUCCUACGGUUUCACCAAGAUCAAUCUAUGAGUUCAUCUAGCAACGAGAGAGAGGAGUGCAUCUACAUACCCUUGUAGAUCGAGCGGAAGCGUUCAAGAGAACGGGGUUGAGGGAUUCGUACUCGUCGUGAUCCAAAUCACCGGAGAUCCUAGCGCCGAACGGACGACACCUUCGCGUUCAACACACGUACGGUCAGCGUGACAUCUCCUCCUUCUUGGUCCAGCAACGGGGAAGGAGAGGUUGAUGAAGAUCCAGCAGCACGACGGCGUGGUGGUGGAUGCAGCAGGGAUCCCGGCAGGGCUUCGCCAAGCGUCUGCGGGAGAGAGAGGUGUAGCAAGGGGAAAGGGAGGCGCCAAGUGCAAGGGUGCGGCUGCCCUCCCUCCCCCCUCUAUAUAUAGGGUCCCCCGGGGGGGGGCACCGGCCCUAGGAGAUGGGAUCUCCUAGGGGGGGCGACGGCCAAGGGGGUGCCUUGCCCCCCAAGGCAAGUGGAGGCGCUCCCUCCCCUAGGGUUCCCAACCCUAGGCGCAGGGGGAGGGGGGCGCACCAGCCCACUAGGGGCUGGUUCCCCUCCCACUUCAGCCCAUGGGGCCCUUCGGGAUGGUUGGCCCCACCUAGUGGACCCCCGGGACCCUUCCGGUGGUCCUGGUACAAUACCGGUGACCCCCGAAACUUUCCCGAUGGCCGAAACUCGACUUCCCAAAUAUAAUUCUUUACCUCCGGACCAUUUCGGAACUCCUCAUGACAUCCAGGAUCUCAUCCGGGACUCCGAAUAACUUUCGGUUUGCUGCAUACUAAUAUCUCUACAACCCUAGUGUCACCGAACCUUAAGUGUGUAGACCCUACGGGUUCGAAAGACACGUAGACAUGACCGAGACGACUCUCUGGUCAAUAACCAACAGCGGGAUCUGGAUACCCAUGUUGGCUCCCACAUGCUCCUCGAUGAUCUCAUCGGAUGAACCACGAUGUCGAGGAUUCAAGCAACCCCGUAUACAAUUCCCUUUGUCAAUCGGUAUGUUACUCGCCCGAAAUUCGAUCGUCGGUAUCCUAAUACCUCAUUCAAUCUCGUUACCGGCAAAUCACUUUACUCGUACCGUAAUGCAUGCUCCCGUGACCAGACACUUGGUCACUUUGAGCUCAUGAUGAUGCAUUACCGAGUGGGCCCAGAUAUACCUCUCCGUCAUACGGAGUGACAAAUCCCAGUCUCGAUCCAUGUCAACCCAACAGACACUUUCGGAGAUACCCGUAGUAUACCUUUAUAGUCACCUUGUUACGUUGUGACGUUUGGUACACCCAAAGCACUCCUACGGUGUCCGGGAGUUACACGAUCUCAUGGUCUAAGGAAAAGAUACUUGACAUUGGAAAAGCUCUAGCAAACAAACUACACGAUCUUGUGCUAUGCUUAGGAUUGGGUCUUGUCCAUCACACCAUUCUCCUAAUGAUGUGAUCCCGUUAUCAAUGACAUCCAAUGUCCAUAGUCAGGAAACCAUGACUAUCUGUUGAUCAACGAGCUAGUCAACUAGAGGCUCACUAGGGACAUGUUGUGGUCUAUGUAUUCACACGUGUAUUACGAUUUCCGGAUAAUACAAUUAUAGCAUGAAUAAAAGACAAUUAUCACGAACAAGGAAAUAUAAUAAUAAUCCUUUUAUUAUUGCCUCUAGGGCAUAUUUCCAACAGUCUCCCACUUGCACUAGAGUCAACAAUCUAGUUACAUUGUGAUGAAUCGAACACCCAUAGAGUUCUGGUGUUGAUCAUGUUUUGCUCGCAGAAGAGGUUUAGUCAACGGAUCUGCGACAUUCAGAUCCGUAUGUACUUUGCAAAUAUCUAUGUCUCCAUCUUGAACAUUUUCACGGAUGGAGUUGAAACGAUGCUUGAUGUGCCUAGUCUUCUUGUGAAACCUGGGCUCCUUGGCAAGGGCAAUAGCUCCAGUGUUGUCACAGAAGAGAGUGAUCGUCCCCGACGCAUUGGGUAUGACUCCUAGGUCGGUGAUGAACUCCUUCAUCCAUAUUGCUUCAUGCGCUGCCUCCGAGGCUGCCAUGUACUCCGCUUCACAUGUAGAUCCUGCCAUGACGCUCUACUUGCAACUGCACCAGCUUACUGCUCCACGAUUCAACAUAUACACGUAUCCGGUUUGUGACUUAGAGUCAUCCAGAUCUGUGUCGAAGCUAGCAUCGACCUAACCCUUUACGAUGAGCUCUUCAUCACCUCCAUAAACGAGAAACAUGUCCUUUGUCCUUUUCAGGUACUUCAGGAUAUUCUUGACCGCUGUCCAGUGUUCCUUGCCGGGAUUACUUUGGUACCUUCCUACCAAACUUACAGCAAGGUUUACAUCAGGUCUGGUACACAGCAUGACAUACAUAAUAGAUCCUAUGGAUGAGGCAUAGGGGAUGACACUCAUCUCUUCUUUAUCUUCUGCCGUGGUCAGGCAUUGAGCCGAGCUCAAUCUCACACCUUGCAAUACAGGCAAGAACCCUUUCUUGUACUGGUCCAUAUUGAACUUCUUCAAUAUCUUAUCCAGGUAUGUGCUUUGUGAAAGACCUAUGAGGCGUCUUGAUCUAUCCCUAUAGAUCUUGAUGCCUAAUAUGUAAGCAGCUUCUCCAAGGUCCUUCAUUGAAAAACACUUAUUCAAGUAGGCCUUAAUGCUGUCCAAAAGUUCUAUAUCAUUUCACACCAGAAGUAUGUCAUCUACAUAUAAUAUGAGAAAUGCUACAGAGCUCCCACUCACUUUCUUGUAAACACAGGCUUCUCCAUAAGUCUGCAUAAACCCAAACGCUUUGAUAUCUCAUUAAAGCGAAUGUUCCAACUCCGAGAUGCUUGCACCAGUCCAUAAAUGGAUCACUAGAGCUUGCAUACCUUGUUAGCAUUCUUAGGGUCGACAAAACCUUCCAGCUAUAUCAUAUACAGUUCUUCCUUAAGAUAGCCGUUAAGGAAUGCCGUUUUGACGUCCAUUUGCCAUAUCUCAUAAUCAUAGUAUGCGACAAUUGCUAACAUGAUUCGGACGGACUUCAGCUUCGCUACGGGAGAGAAAGUCUCAUCGUAGUCAACCCCUUGAACUUGCCGAUAACCCUUAGUGACAAGUCGAGCUUUAUAGAUGGUAACAUUACCAUCCGUGUCCGUCUUCUUCUUAAAGAUCCAUUUGUUUUCUAUCGCUCGACGAUCAUCGGGCAAGUCUGUCAAAGUCCAUACUUUGUUUUCAUACAUGGAUUCUAUCUCGGAUUGCAUGGCUUCAAGCCAUUUGUUGGAAUCUGGGCCCGCCAUCGCUUCUUCAUAGUUCGAAGGUUCACCGUUGUCUAACAACAUGAUUUCCAGGACAGGGUUGCCAUACCACUCUGGCGUGGAACGUGUCCUUGUAGACCUAAGAAGUUCAGUAGCAACUUGAUCCGAAGUACUUUGAUCAUCAUCAUUAAUUUCCUCUCCUGUCGGUGUAGGCACCACAUGAACAUUUUCCUGAGCUGCACUACUUUCCGGUUCAAGAGAUAGUACUUCAUCGAGUUCUACUUUCCUCCCACUUACUUCUUUCGAGAGAAACUCUUUUUCCAGAAAGGAUCCGUUCUUGGCAACAAAGAUCUUGCCCUCGGAUCUUAAGUAGAAGGUAUACCCAAUGGUUUCCUUAGGGUAUCCUAUGAAGACGCAUUUUUUCGACUUGGGUUCAAGCUUUUCAGGUUGAAGUUUCUUGACAUAAGCAUCGCAUCCCCAAACUUUUAGAAACGACAGCUUAGGUUUCUUCCCAAACCAUAAUUCAUACGGUGUCGUCUCAACGGAUUUAGACGGAGCCCUAUUUAAAGUGAAUGUAGCUAUCUCUAGAGCGUAUCCCCAAAAUGAUAGCGGUAAAUCGGUAAGAGACAUCAUAGAUCGCACCAUAUCCAAUAGAGUGCGAUUACGACAUUCGGACACACCGUUACGCUGAGGCGUUCCAGGCGGCGUGAGUUGUGAAACGAUUCCACAUUCCUUAAGUGCGUACCAAAUUCAUGACUUAAAUAUUCUCCUCCAUGAUCUGAUCGUAAGAACUUUAUCUUUCGGUCACGUUGAUUCUCUACCUUAUUCUGGAAUUCCUUGAACUUUUCAAAGGUCUCAGACUUGUGUUUUAUCAAGUAGACAUACCCAUAUCUACUCAAGUCAUCAGUGAGAGUGAGAACAUAACGAUAUCCUCCACGAGCCUCAACGCUCAUUGGACCGCACACAUCGGUAUGUAUAAUUUCCAAUAAGUUGGUUGCUCGCUCCAUUGUUCCAGAGAACGGAGUCUUGGUCAUUUUGCCCAUGAGGCAUGGUUCGCAUGUGUCAAAUGAUUCAUAAUCGAGAGACUCUAAAAGUCCAUCUGCAUGGAGCUUCUUCAUGCGCUUGACACUAAUGUGACCAAGGCGGCACUGCCACAAGUAUGUGGGACUAUCGUUAUCAACUUUACAUCUUUUGGUAUUCAUACUAUGAAUAUGUGUAACAUUACAUUCGAGAUUCAUUAAGAAUAAACCAUUGACCAUCGGGGCAUGACCAUAAAACAUAUCUCUCAUAUAAAUAGAACAACCAUUAUUCUCGGAUUUAAAUGAGUAGCCAUCUCGUAUUAAACGAGAUCCAGAUACAAUGUUCAUGCUCAAACUUGGCACUAAAUAACAAUUAUUGAGGUUUAAAACUAAUCCCGUGGGUAAAUGUAGAGGUAGCGUGCCGACGGCGAUCACAUCGACCUUGGAACCAUUCCCGACGCGCAUCAUCACCUCGUCCUUCGCCAGUCUCCGCUUAUUCCGCAGCUCCUGGUUUGAGUUACAAAUAUGAGCAACGACACCGGUAUCAAAUACCCAGGAGCUACUACGAGCACUGGUAAGGUACACAUCAAUUAAUGUAUAUCACAUAUACCUUUAGUGUUGCCAGCCUUCUUGUCCGCUAAGUAUUUGGGGCAGUUCCACUUCCAAUGACCCUUCCCUUUGCAAUAAAAGCACUCAGUCUCAGGCUUGGAUCCAUUCUUUGACUUCUUCCCAGCAACUGGCUUACCGGGCGCGGCAACAUCCUUGCCGUCCUUCUUGAAGUUCUUCUUAUCCUUGCCUUUCUUGAACUUGGUGGUUUUAUUGACCAUCAACACUUGAUGUUCCUUUUUGAUUUCUACCUCUGCUGACUUUAGCAUUGAAAAUACUUCAGGAAUAGUUUUCACCAUCCCCUGCAUAUUGUAGUUCAUCACAAAGCUCUUGUAGCUCGGUGGGAGCGACUGAAGGAUUCUGUCAAUGACCGCCUCGUCUGGGAGGUUAAUGUCCAGCUGGGACAGGCGGUUGUGCAACCCAGACAUUUUGAGUAUAUGCUCACUGACAGAACUGUUUUCCUCCAUCUUACAACUAUAGAACUUGUUGGAGACUUCAUAUCUCUCGACCCGGGCGUGAGCUUGGAAAACCAUUUUCAGCUCCUCGAACAUCUCAUAUGCUCCGUGUUGCUCAAAACGCUUUUGGAGCCCUGGUUCUAAGCUGUAAAGCAUGCUGCACUGAACGAGGGAGUAAUCCUCAGCAUGUGACUGCCAAGCGUUCAUAACGUCUUGGUUCUCUGGGAUGGGUGCUUCACCUAGCGGUCCUUCUAGGACAUAUGCUUUCUUGGCAGCUAUGAGGAUGAUCCUCAGGUUCCGGACCCAGUCCGUAUAGUUGCUGCCAUCAUCUUUCAGCUUGGUUUUCUCUAGGAACGCGUUGAAGUUCACGUUGACAUGAGCGUUGGCCAUUUGAUCUACAAGACAUUUUUGCAAAGGUUUUAGACUAAGUUCAUGAUAAUUAAGUUCAUCUAAUCAAAUUAUUAAUGAACUCCCACUCAGAUUAGACAUCCCUCUAGUCAUCUAAGUGUUACAUGAUCCGAGUCGACUAGGCCGUGUCCGAUCAUCACGUGAGAUGGACUAGUCAUCAUCGGUGAACAUCUACAUGUUGAUCGUAUCUUUCAUACGACUCAUGUUUGACCUUUCGGUCUCUUGUGUUCCGAGGCCAUGUCUGUACAUGCUAGGCUCGUCAAGUUAACCUAAGUGUUUGGCAUGUGUAAAUCUGUCUUACACCCAUUGUAUGUGAACGUUAGAAUCUAUCACACCCGAUCAUCACAUGGUACUUCGAAACAACAAACUGUCGCAAUGGCGCACAGUUAGGGGGAACACUUUCUUGAAAUUAUUAUGAGGGGUCAUCUUAUUUACUACCGUCGUUCUAAGUAAACAAGAUGCAAAAACAUGAUAAACAUCACAUGCAAUCAAAUAAUAGUGACAUGAUAUGGCCAAUAUCAUAUAGCUCCUUUGAUCUCCAUCUUCGGGGCUCCAUGAUCAUCUUCAUCACCGGCAUGACACCAUGAUCUCCAUCAUCAUGAUCUCCAUCAUCGUGUCUCCAUGAAGUUGCUCGCCAACUAUUACUUCUACUACUAUAGCUAACGGUUUAGCAAUAAAGUAAAGUAAUUACAUGGCGUUAAAUCAUCGACACGCAGGUCAUACAAUAAUUAAGACAACUCCUAUGGCUCCUGUCGGUUGUCAUACUCAUUGACAUGCAAGUCGUGAUUCCUAUUACAAGAACAUGAUCUCAUACAUCACAAUAUAUAAUUCAUCAUUCAUCACAACUUUUGGCCAUAUCACAUCACAAAGCAAUUGCUGCAAAAACAAGUUAGACGUCCUCUAAUUGUUGUUGCAUCUUUUACGUGGCUGCAAUAGGGUUCUAGCAAGAACGUUUUCUUACCUACGAAAAAGCCACAACGUGAUUUGUCAACUUCUAUUUACCCUUCAUAAGGACACUUUUCAUCGAAUCCGCUCCAACUAAAGUGGGAGAGACAGACACCCGCUAGCCACCUUAUGCAACUAGUGCAUGUGAGUCAGUGGAACCUGUCUCACGUAAGCGUACAUAUAAGGUUGGUCCGGGCCGCUUCAUCCCGCAAUACCGCUGAAGCAAAAUAAGACUAGUAGUGGCAAGAAAGUUGACAACAUCUACGCCCACAACAGAUUUGUGUUCUACUCGUGCAAAGAGAACUACGCAUAGACCUGGCUCUGGUACCACUGUUGGGGAACGUUGUAGAAAACAAAAAAAUUCCUACGGUUUCACCAAGAUCAAUCUAUGAGUUCAUCUAGCAACGAGAGAGAGGAGUGCGUCUACAUACCCUUGUAGAUCGAGCGGAAGCGUUCAAGAGAACGGGGUUGAGGGAGUCGUACUCGUCGUGAUCCAAAUCACCGGAGAUCCUAGCGCCGAACGGACGGCACCUCCGCGUUCAACACACGUACGGUCAGCGUGACGUCUCCUCCUUCUUGAUCCAGCAAGGGGGAAGGAGAGGUUGAUGAAGAUCUAGCAGCACGACGGCGUGGUGGUGGAUGCAGCAGGGAUCCCGGCAGGGCUUCUCCAAGCGUCUGCGGGAGAGAGAGGUGUAGCAAGGGGAAAGGGAGGCGCCAAGUGCAAGGGUGCGGCUGCCCUCCCUCCCCUCCUCUAUAUAUAGGGUCCCCAGGGGGGGCUCCGGCCCUAGGAGAUGGGAUCUCCUAGGGGGGCGGCGGCCAAGGGGGUGCCUUGCCCCCCAAGGCAAGUGGAGGCGCCCCCUCCCCUAGGGUUCCCAACCCUAGGCGUAGGGGGGCCCGGGGGGGCGCACCAGCCCACCAGGGGCUGGUUCCCCUCCCACUUCAGCCCAUGGGGCCCUCCGGGAUGGGUGGCCCCACCCGGUGGAUCCCCGGGACCCUUCCGGUGGUCCCGGUACAAUACCGGUGACCCUCAAAACUUUCCCGAUGACCGAAACUCGACUUCCCAUAUAUAAUUCUUUACCUCCGGACCAUUCCGGAACUCCUCGUGACAUCCGGGGUCUCAUCUGGGACUCCGAACAACUUUCGGUUUGCUGCAUACUAAUAUCUCUACAACCCUAGUGUCACCGAACCUUAAGUGUGUAGACCCUACGGGUUCGGGAGACACGUAGACAUGACCGAGAUGGCUCUCCGAUCAAUAACCAACAGCGGGAUCUGGAUACCCAUGUUGGCUCCCACAUGCUCCUCGAUGAUCUCAUCGGAUGAACCACGAUGUCGAGGAUUCAAGCAACCCCGUAUACAAUUCCCUUUGUCAAUCGAUAUGUUACUUGCCCGAGAUUCGAUCGUCGUUAUCCCAACACCUCGUUCAAUCUCGUUACCGGCAAGUCACUUUACUCGUACCGUAAUGCAUGAUCCCGUGACCAGACACUUGGUCACUUUGAGCUCAUGAUGAUGCAUUACCGAGUGGGCCCAGAGAUACCUCUUCGUCAUACGGAGUGACAAAUCCCAGUCUCGAUCCGUGUCAACCCAACAGACACUUUCGGAGAUACCCGUAGUAUACUUUUAUAGUCACCCAGUUACGUUGUGACGUUUGGUACACCCAAAGCACUCCUACGGUGUCCGGGAGUUACACGAUUUCAUGGUCUAAGGAAAAGAUACUUGACAUUGGAAAAGAUCUAGCAAACGAACUACACGAUCUUGUGCUAUGCUUAGGAUUGGGUCUUGUCCAUCACAGCAUUCUCCUAAUGAUAUGAUCCCGUUAUCAAUGACAUCCAAUGUCCAUAGUCAGGAAACCAUGACUAUCUGUUGAUCAACGAGCUAGUCAACUAGAGGCUCACUAGGGACAUGUUAUGGUCUAUGUAUUCACACGUGUAUUACGAUUUCCGGAUAAUACAAUUAUAGCAUGAAUAAAAGACAAUUAUCACGAACAAGGAAAUAUAAUAAUAAUCCUUUUAUUAUUGCCUCUAGGGCAUAUUUCCAACAAUUAUCUAAUUCUUAUAUAAUCUAACAUUUAUAUAAUCUAACAUUUUGACAUUAAACAUUUGUGUGUGUGUGUGUGCUCGCGCGUGUGCGCGCUCAUUUGUGUGUGUGUGUGUGUGUGUGUGUGUGUGUGCGGGUGUGUAUGUGUGCAGGAGGCCGCCNNNNNNNNNNNNNNNNNNNNNNNNNNNNNNNNNNNNNNNNNNNNNNNNNNNNNNNNNNNNNNNNNNNNNNNNNNNNNNNNNNNNNNNNNNNNNNNNNNNNNNNNNNNNNNNNNNNNNNNNNNNNNNNNNNNNNNNNNNNNNNNNNNNNNNNNNNNNNNNNNNNNNNNNNNNNNNNNNNNNNNNNNNNNNNNNNNNNNNNNNNNNNNNNNNNNNNNNNNNNNNNNNNNNNNNNNNNNNNNNNNNNNNNNNNNNNNNNNNNNNNNNNNNNNNNNNNNNNNNNNNNNNNNNNNNNNNNNNNNNNNNNNNNNNNNNNNNNNNNNNNNNNNNNNNNNNNNNNNNNNNNNNNNNNNNNNNNNNNNNNNNNNNNNNNNNNNNNNNNNNNNNNNNNNNNNNNNNNNNNNNNNNNNNNNNNNNNNNNNNNNNNNNNNNNNNNNNNNNNNNNNNNNNNNNNNNNNNNNNNNNNNNNNNNNNNNNNNNNNNNNNNNNNNNNNNNNNNNNNNNNNNNNNNNNNNNNNNNNNNNNNNNNNNNNNNNNNNNNNNNNNNNNNNNNNNNNNNNNNNNNNNNNACGACGGUGACGGGGACGACGAUGACGUACGGCGACAGGGAUGACGCGGGGGCGGCGGGCCGAGGGGCGGCGUGACGUACGGGGCGGCGACGAUGUACGGUGACGGGGGCGCGCGACGACGACGGUGACGGGGGCGCUGACAGGGGCGGCGCGCGUGGGGACGGGGCGCGACAAAGAUGAUAACUAAAUUUUUUCGUAAGUGCUGGUUAUAUAGGGGGGCCUUUAGUACCGGUUGGAGAUAGGAACCGGUACUAAAGGUUAAAUUUGGCCAGGCGAAGUGGCGGGAAGCGACACCCUUUAGUACCGGUUCGUGGCUCCAACAGGUACUAAAGACCCGCCCUUUAGUACCGGUUAAAGCCACGAACUGGUACUAAAGGGGUGCGUCGUGGUGCUCAAUGUUUAGUCCCACCUCGCCGAGUGACGGGCAGACGCACUGAUUUAUAAACCCAGCUGCGGCUGCUCCUUCGAGAUCCUAUCUAAUGCAGGCCUCUGGGCCUAACUUUCCUCGCUGCACUGUGAGCCUGGUGGGCCUUAUGGGCCAGCAUAAGCACGCCCAAGGCCGAGCAGGCCCACUGGGCAGCGCGGAAAUAAUUUUUUUUUCAUAUAGUUUUUUUUCUUUUGUGGUUUAUAUAUUUUCUUGUAUUUAUUUCUGAGUAGUUUUUUUGUUGUAUUUAGAGUUUCUUAUGUUUAAUAUUAGUGUGUUUUAUCAUUAUAUUCAUAUUUGUAGUGAUUUUUCAAUUAUUUUCUAGUGCUUUUCACUUUCACGGUGAUUUAGCUCUAAAACAAAUGAGUAAAUGCAUCGAAAAUAGCAAAUUAUGUCAGAAAGGGUUGAAAGUUGAUGACAUGGAUUUGAAUUGUGCAUCUGAACGCAAAAAAGUCCGGAGUUGUACUAAGUUAUUAAAAUAUUGAAUAGCCGGUGUAACAGAUGAGUUUUCGUCCGAAACCCUGAUACUUCCUAAGAGAUUGUCAAGUUUAUACACGAAGUGUAUCCAGUUUUUGCCGCAACCUCUCUACUUUUUUGCACAUGAUAUGCGGGUGAAAUGAUGAUACCUUGCCAAGUUUCAACCUUUCCAGAGUUCAUUUUGUACCGCUUUUCACUUUCACGACGAUUUAGCUCUGAAAACAAAUCAAUAAAUGCAUCAAAAAUAGCAAAUUAUGUCAGAAAGGGUUGAAAGUUGAUGACGUGGAUUUGAAUUGUGCAUCUGAAUGCAAAAAAAGUCCGGAGUUGUACUAAGUUAUUAAAAUAUUGAAUAGCCGGUGUAACAGAUGAGUUUUCGUCCGAAACCCUGAUAUUUCCUAAGAGAUUAUCCAGUUUAUACACGAAGUGCAUUCGGUUUUUGCCGUAACCCUCUCUACCUUUUUACACAUGCUAUGUGGGUGAAAUGAUGAUACCUUGCCAAGUUUCAACCUUUUCAGAGUUCAUUUUGUACUGCUUUUCACUUUCACGAUGAUUUAGCUCCGAAAACAAAUAAGUAAAUAUAUCGAGAAUAGCAAAUUAUGCCAGAAAGGGUUGAAAGUUGAUGACGUGGAUUUGAAUUGUGCAUCUGAAACGCAAAAAAGUCCGGAGUUGUACUAAGUUAUUAAAAUAUUGAAUAGCCGGUGUAACAGAUGAGUUUUCGUCCGAAACCCUGAUACUUCCUAAGAGAUUGUCCAAUUUAUACACGAAGUGCAUCCGGUUUUUGCCGUAACCCUUUCUACUUUUUCGCACAUGGUAUGCGGGUGAAAUGAUGAUACCUUGCCAAGUUUCAACCUUUUUAGAGUUCAUUUUGUACCACUUUUCACUUUCAUAGUGAUUUAGCACUGAAAACAAAUCAGUAAAUGCAUCGAAAAUAGCAAAUCAUGCCUGAAAGGGUUGAAAGUUGAUGACGUGGAUUUGAAUUGUGCAUCUGAAUGCAAAAAAAGUCCGGAGUUGUACUAAGUUAUUAAAAUAUUGAAUAGCCGGUGUAACAGAUGAGUGUUCGUCCGAAACUCUGAUACUUCCUAAGAGAUUCUCCAGUUUAUACACGAAGUGCAUCCAAUUUUUGUCGUACCCCUCUCUACUUUUUAGCACAUGCUAUGCAGGUGAAAUGAUGAUACCUUACCAAAUUUCAACCUUUUCAGAGUUCAUUUUGUACUGUUUUUCAAUUUCACGAUGAUUUAGCUCUGAAAACAAAUCAGUAAAUGUAUCGAAAAUAGUAAAUUAUGUCAGAAAGGGUUGAAAGUUGAGGACGUGGAUUUGAAUUGUGCAUCUGAACGCAAAAAAAGUCCGGAGUUGUACUAAGUUAUUAAAAUAUUGAAUAGCCGGUGUAACAGAUGAGUUUUUGUCCGAAACGUUGAUACUUCCUAAGAGAUUGUCUAGUUUGUCCAUGAAGUGCAUCCAGUAUUUUCCGUAACCCUCUCUACUUUUCUGCACAUGCUAUGCGGGUGAAAUGAUGAUACCUUGCCAAGUUUCAACAUUUUCAGAGUUCAUUUUGUACUGCUUUUCACUUUCACGGUGAUUUAGCUCUCAAAACAAAUCAGUAAAUGCAUCGAAAAUAGCAAAUUAUGUCAGAAAGGGUUGAAAGUUGAUGACGUGGAUUUGAAUUGUGCAUCUAGACGCAAAAAAGUCCGGAGUUGUACUAAAUUAUUAAAAUAUUGAAUAACCGGCAUAACAGAUGAGUUUUCGUCCGAAACCCUGAUACUUCCUAAGAGAUUGUCCAGUUUAUACACGAAGUGCAUCCAGUUUUUGCCGUAACCCUCUCUACUCUUUUGCACAUGAUAUGCAGGUGAAAUGAUGAUACCUUGCCAAGUUUCAACCUUUUCAGAGUUUAUUUUGUACUGCUUUUCACUUUCACGGUGAUUUAGCUCUGAAAAUAAAUCAGUAAAUGCAUCGAAAAUAGCAAAUUAUGUCAGAAAGGGUUGAAAGUUGAUGACGCGGAUUUGAAUUGUGCAUCUGAACGCAAAAACAGUCCAGAGUUGUACUAAGUUAUUAAAAUAUUGAAUAGCCGGUGUAACAGAUGAGUUUUCGUCCGAAACUCUGAUAUACUUCCUAAGAGAUUGUCCAGUUAAAACUGGCUCUUGUGUAAACAUGUAAAAAUAUACAUAAAAUACAUUGAUCAGUACCGCCUUUCAGCUAGAACGCGCUACUGCUAUAGAGAAAUACAUCAAAAAUACAUUGAUCAUCAAUGAUCUUUUUGUGUACAAUCUGAAUUUUCAAUAUGAGUCCUCUUCGGUAGGAACCAGAGAAGACUCAUAUUGCGGCCACAAAUUCUACACAUAGAGUUCAAUGAAGACCAAGUGGUUGUGAUAGUUUGAGAAGUAACAUAUUUAAGGUGGUAAAAACUCUGUUAGCGGAGCGAGGUGGGACUAAAAAACCAUUGUUUACUAGGAACCUCUAGUGCCGGCUUGUGGCAUGAACCGGUACUAAAGGUGCCGGUGGGCCCCCAUCCUGACCACAGCCUGCAACAGCCACUUUAGUACCGGUUCGUGGCACGAACCGGUACUAAAGGGUCGCCACGAACCGGUACUAAUGAUCUCUGCCCCCCUAGCCGUUUGGACCGGCACUAAUGAUCACAUUAAUGCCGGUUUUGUUACAAACCGGGACUAAUGUGCUUCACAUUAGGCCCUUUUUCUACUAGUGCCUGCCAUUGUUUUCGAGCUGCAUUCCAAUGCCUGAGCUCUGCCACCCUCGCCCUUCUCUGCUUCCCAAUGUUCUCGGUCAUCAUUCUCCGCCUCCCAACCUCCUCUGCCGCCACGGGGAACAACCUCAACCACCUAACUCGAGGAGUCAUGUCCCGGACCAACCUCGUAUGUUGCAUGCCUCCCCUACAUGCUUCCAUGCCUCCCAUCCCCAACGCCUCCAUCGUGGGCCACUGUUGUUCCCUGUUCUCCUAGAGCUCAACCACGAAGGAUCCAGGGCCAGUGGCUCCUAUACCACAUCGACGAGAAGCUAGGGUUGCGCUCAACAUGAGAACAUACCAAUCCGAUGUUGAUGAAGUGAUGAAACGGUGAGGAAGGGCACAUACGUGAAAACAGGUGGUGCAGUGAAGGAAGAGGUCAACGGGAGAAGAGGGUCGACAUGAGAGAGAAGUAGAUAGAAAAAAAGGAAAAAAAAAGAAGGAAAAAAAAUACAAGGACCACAUGCCAUUUUUUAGGGCUGAGAAAUAAGGGUUGCUGCCGGAGACUUGGAGUCAUUUCUUGGGGGUUAAAAAAUCGGCGCCAAACUCAAAAUAGGCUAUUUAGGGGACGACGCGAUUUGAUGCCCAGGCUCAGAUGCACCCGCGAUGAAUAGAAAAUUCAAAUAAAAACUAUACUUAAAAAUCAGUUUUUUGCAUGAAAGAUAAUUUGGUGCGCGAGGUGCGCUCUAAAUUUCAGAUUAUUUGGACAUGUGAGUAGCUAUCGGUAAAAAGACACAAUUAGGGUCUAUGAAAAAGUUUAUUGUUCUGGCCCAAUUUGUUUGUUUGUUGAGAGAUACUCAUAUGUCCAAAUGAUCUGAAAUUUGAAGCGCACCUCACGCAUCAAAUUAUCUUCCAUGCAAAAAUGUUUGGAUUUUUCGAUUCUUUUAUUGUUUGUGACUUUUCUCUUCACUAGGUGCAGAUGUGCGUGGGCUCAAAAAUAGAUAUUCGCUAUUUAGGGGCUGAGAUACUCGAACUCCUAUGUUUUACUCCAUUGAAGUUUGUUAGGCACCUUCAUAUUUUGGGUUAAAUUUUAAUCAUAAAUUUAACUAAUAAAAUAUGAGUUUUAUGUCACAAAACAAUAUCAUCGGAAACUUCUUUUGACAAAUACAAUGACAAAGUUUUUUGUGGCAUAUUAUAUAAAUAUCACUACUCAAACCUUCAGCCAAUUUUUUAAUCGUGGAGGGAGUAUAUGACAUGGUAUGAUUAUGCCCCCUCGCGUGUGGGAUCAUCACCGACCAUCCAGACGUUCAUUAUGUAUUUGAUUUUGACUCACGGAACGGACGCUCACGAACGAAGGAAAAAGGUCCAUUGGCUGUAGGUUUCGCUCUCCUCCUCGCUCGUCGUGCCGUCGCAGCCGCCGCAUAUCGUUGGAGGAAAGUCGCGCUUCACCUCGUGCAUGAUACCAUCAAUCAUCGCAAGAACCUUAAUUUCUUUGAUCUUCUGCGCUGAUCCUUUGUGUCUGGCUCUGUGCAGGUCCCUCACGAGCGACGAGAUGCUCUCACGCGUCGCGGCGAGUUCGCUCCGGCGCAUCAGCUGUGUUUCCAGGUGUUGGCUCAGCGUCGUCGGCCACCCCGACCACCGUGAAAAGCUCUCCCAACCCCUGGCCGGCUUCUUCUACAACAGCAUGAACGAGAACCGCUUCCCGGAAUCAGCUCUCCACUUCGUCAAUGCGACGGGGGAGGGCCGUCCCUUGAUCUACCCCUCUUUUGCCUUCCUGCCCACCAGCCAGCGCCUCCGUCUCUGGGACUGCUGCAACGGCCUCUUCCUCUGCUGAUUGUACAACGCAGGCGGCGAGUUCCAGUACGUCGUGUGCAAUCCCGCCACGGAGCAGUGGGUGGUUUUACCUGACCCUGUCCCUGGCCAGACAGGCAAGGUGGGCACAACACAUUUGGGGUUUGAUCCGGCCGUGUCUUCGCAUUUCCAUGUGUUUGCAUUGUUGCUCGAUCAUAAAGUCCAACUCACUGGAGUUGAUGUGUACUCGUCGGAGUCAGGCAGAUGGACUCACAAGGAGAAGGGAUGGGACAACAACGUCCGCCUCGCCGAUCCUCUGUCACCGACCGUCUUUCUUAAAGGCUAUCUGCACUUUCGACUGUUUGCGACCAGCAGCGCCCUCAUAUAGCCGCCGUGGACAUGAAGGGAGAUUCAUGGUCGAUCUUGGCUACCCCUUGUGGUCUGUUUAGAGGUUAUCAUGAUCUUUGUCUCAUUCAACAGUCACGGGGCCGCUUGCACUAUGUCAGCUUGAACAAUGAUUAUGAUGAUGGUUGUUGGAAUGAAUUCCAAGUUUACGCUCUCGCAGGCCACACCGACAAAGAAUGGAUAUUAAAGCACAGAUUUGAAGACUUAAAUGAGUUUCAAGGUGUCACUGCGUGGGGCUUUGAAUGGAUUGCGUUUGACCCCGAAUGUAACUCGGUCUUCUUCGUGGAUUGGUCGGAUGUUCAAAAAUUAAGACAUUAUGAUAUGAAUCAUAAGACAACGACUGAGAUCGUCACACUUGGUGAUGAGGGCCAGACACCAUGUCUGCCAUAUGUGCCAUUUUACUCAGAGUUAGAAUCUUUGCGCAACUGGCAUCAAUGUGAGACCGCUGGUGGGUCAUAGGAGGCGGGUCUUUGAUAAAUUGAUAGGAGUCGAUCGUUUAAGCUAUAUAUCGAGCAGAAAGUUAAGUAUGUCUGCUUGAAUUUGAUUUACAACUUUUCUAAUUGGACAAUCCGCUGUCUGCUAAUGAUCUAAUGUGGGAAAUUUCGCCAUGAUGUAAUAUUUGUAAUUGUUUUUUCUGUUUACAGCUAGAUUUGUUUUCUUAUGGUAAAACACUUCAGAUCAAUACAUUGUCCCUUCCUUCUAUGCUAGUUAUUCGUCGCAUGUUCUAAAUAGGUAGUGGUGUUAUUAAGCAAAGACAUCAUCUAGCCGUGCUUGUCAACCAUAAUGUUCAAACUUCAUAGGACACUAGUUGUACGUGGCUAGGGUUGGAUUCUUUACAUGGAGGAAAGCGAGAAGGGAAGCUUCAUCACUGUUGUUGGCCCAUGGCCAAACGAAAUGCCUUAUAUUUUUUACCCAAAUGAUAAGUGCUGCACGUCAGGUGCGUGGCAUCCCGGCCCUGACGUUUUUCACGAAUUCCAGUCAUGCAAGGAUGGCAAACUCCAGUUAUACACGACAAGCUUCUGUCAAAAAUACCACGCUGAAGCCCCGAGAUAUCAUCUCACGAGCUAUGUACCCAACCGUUCCCGUAAGGCGUUGGAGGGCACAAAGUUGUUGUCCCAUGGGUACAGUUUAGCAAGGCCGAAAUCAGCAACUUUGGGAAUGAAAUUAUUGUCGGGCAAGAUGUUGUGCGGCUUGAUUUAAAAGUAGAGAAUCUGCAUGUCACAACCCUGAUGCAGGUAGUUGAUACCGCUGGCAAGGCCCAAGCGAUCUCAUUGAGCUUGUCUCAGGAGAAAGUCUUAUCAGCCAAGAAGAUGUACUUGUCGAGGGAACCUCAUGGCAUGUACUCGUAAACCAACACGCUUCGAAUUUCCUCAGAGCAGAACCCAACUAGACGCACCACAAAUAUGUCGUGGAUUGUGCCGAUGGUGGAAACCUCACUGAUGAAGUCAUCUCUGUUACAGCUAGAGCCAGAGUUCAACAUCUUGCAUCUUGACGGCCACAUGAACAUCAUCAAGCAGUACACCCUUAAACACGAAGCCGAAACCUCCAAAGCCCAGCUUGUCUCUGAACUGGUUUGUGAUUGCAGCGAUAUCUGUGUAUGCAUACCUCAUCGGGCCAAAAAUCUCCUGCAUCCAAAGGAACUUCUCGACAGCGUCGAUGGUGAUCCUUAUUUUCCAGUACUUGUGGGCAAAGAAGACAAAUACAUCUAGCGGUGCCAACAUGAACCUACACAGUACUGUAGCAAGACAAUUAAUUGAUCAUGUUGGUAGCUAGCGUUGAGUUAUGCGAUGCGAAUGCGUAGCUUUUUGAUAGUAGAUGAGUAUACCACCUAACUAGCUAAAGACUGAAAGGGUAGUUAAUUACCAGCAAACCACUUGAGAGCCACCAUCGAAUAUGCCGCGGCACUCACAACGUAAUAUUUUGUAUUCCAAGAUCUUCCUGGAAUAGGCACACCCUGAAUCCAGGAAAUAGGUAGUUCCAGAUAACUACCUCAGCCCUGGCAAUGUCCGUUACCCGACCUCUGAUAUCUCCUCACGGGCGAAAUAAUCAAUUGAUCUCAUCCCGUAGCCCAGGCAGGAUAACAUGUGAGCCAGUCUGAGGGAAACAAAGAGGAAGCAAGCAAUGACAAAGUAUGAUUUCUAAAACAUAUCAACAUUAUUAUGGGGUGGGCAGGCGGCAUUUGCCCCCUCCCCCCUCCCGGCGCAUUUCAUCACAUUGUAUUUAUUCAAUAGUUGUUUAUAGCUGUGUGCAUAUAUCUUAUAAUCAUCAUUUGCAUUAUAUAAUUGCUAGUCAGCAACCAGUGCAGAGGGGUAGGAAUUUUUGGAAGUAAACAUAAAUUAUAGGAGGGUCUGUGUAAUAGUACUUUUUCAAUUUUGAAUUCAUUUUCUGUUAGAUUAUAGGGAAACAAAAGAAUUGCGAUUCAAAGAUCAUCGUAUAACCAUGUAUUAGUUUGCUUUGUUUCCAUGUAGGAAAAAUAUACUUCUUGUAAAAAUAUAUUAUAGGCGGGUCUAUGUAAUAGUAGCUUUUGGUUUAUGAUUUUUUAAUUAGAUUAUAGGUAAACAUAAGAAUUGCGUUUCAUAGCUCAUCGUAUAACCAUGUAAUAAUUUGCUCUGUUUCAACGUAGGAAAAACAUAUUUCUUCAGCUAAAUUAGGGUUGGAGGGGAGAUUCACUUUGUGAAGCUCUGAGCUACGAUUAUCUAGUGAUGUAUGUGAAAGAAAUAUGAUCCUUUUAACAAAUGGGUUAAUUAUCCUUUUGCCCUCAAUGGUGUCCAUGUGCUCAGUUUUGCCUUCAGAUACGAAUCGUGCUCAGUUUUGCCCCUCGUCCCUGCGCACCAACUCGUUCUGUGAACUCUGCCGUCUCCGUCAGGUCAACCUUUUGACUCGGCCCUUACAGGUGGGACCAGGCGGCAGAAACGCCCUAGAAGAUCAGACCGUUGCACGCGUGGCUUGUGGGACCCGACAGAGAGCCGUUGCAGGUGUGCUAUAUAAGCGGGCGACAGACAGCGGCCGUGACCACGGCGACAGAGAGCACGGCGGUGACCACGGUGAGAGAGAGAGAGAGAGAGAGAGAGCGGCGGUGGGAAGCUAGCUGUGGAGGGUGCGGCGGCGUUCAGAUCCCCUUCGGCUCCGAGCUCCAUGUAUUCCUCAAGCUCAUGUGCCACCUCGCGGAUGCAGAGCCGGGCGCGUGUGGACAUGCGUGUCUUCAUCUGUCCGCGGUGCCGGGCGCGCGUUGAUCGGAGGGUUUCUCACACAUCGAGGAACCAGAUUCGUCCAUUCUACGUGUGCAACGAGAAUGGGGUAAGAAUCGGGGCAAUUGCACCAUUUUCGUGGUCAGGAUCUUUGAGCAAUGGGUUGAUCUAUUUGGCGUUCAUGCAGGUGACAUGCUUCUUUCUUUGGGUCGAUGCUCUGGCCAAGACUCUGAUUAAUGAACUGCAAGAAGAGCAUGAAGAAUAGUUGUGCAUGCUGCCACAAACUGCAAUGGUCGCAGCACGAGCUUCGGAAGAAGAGAUGGAGGGCGAAGCACACACUAACAGAGAGCUAGCGGUUGAGCUUAGGAUGUUGAAGAAGAAGGUUAGGAAGCUUGAAGAUCAAGCACAAAUACCAAUACCCAUUUGCAAUUACUUUUGGGCAUUUGUAGGUAUGGUAAUCGCACUUGGUGUAAUGUUGAAAUUGUAUGGAAAGGCAUGAAUUAUGAAGGAAUUUAUUAGCUUGAAAUUGUAUGAGAAAUUCACCUAGUUUAAAUGCUGGUCAAAGUUGUUUUAAUGUUGAUAAAAAGAGAAGAAGUGACCAACAUGUAAAUAUGUUGAAAAAGGGAGAAGAAAUGAGGAAUUCAGAAACUUUUGAUCAAUGAAAUGCAGCUCUCUGCUCUACCUUUCUGUCAAAAAAAAGGUUCCUCUGUGGGCCAAAUUCAGAGCGUAGAGCCAAGUACCGGCUAGACUAAUGGGCCAACUGAUCCAAUUAGGCCCAUUUGGGGGUUCUCUAGCGUGUUUUUCUGUUUUCUGUUCUGAUUUAAUUUAGAUAGUAAAUCAUAAUGCUGAAACUUUUUAUGGAAGCUAAUUGAAUUAUUCCAGAGCCAAACAAUUAAGUUUAGAAUUUUUUGGAGCUGUUAAAUAUUUAAUAGCAAUUUAAUUACUCCAAUUCAAAUACACCGUGAUUUAAAUCAAAGACCAAAAUGUCAUGGAAAAUGUGCCUCAGCUAUGGUAGAGGUUUACACCUGGUGCCAAAAUUAAUGUACAUUUUUAAGGGCAUUACAUUGAAAAAAAAUUGUCUAAAAAUGAAGGGUGAAAAAUGCACAAAAAAUUGGUGCGGCUGGGGACUCGAACCCAGGACCGUGUGGGUUUGUGGCGUUUAGGGCUACGCUGGUAACUGCUAGGGCAGAUGGAAAGACUUUGAUAUGGGUAGGGAAGGAAAGUAUACAUAGUGAGACCAUUUGUUUGUACUGAAUGUUUGCACACGUGUUAGAGUGGUUUUCCUUUGUUUUGCACUGAAAUUUUGGAGUGUUGCAAACGUAUAUUUGCACUGCCACAUGAUUUUGGUUAGAGUGGCACUUGGUUUAGGAUUUAAAGGGAAUAAAUUUGCAUGUUAGUUCAUGACUUUGUUUAGGAAAGAAAUGAUAUGUUUGGGCACGGACAUUUCUUAACACACAUAAUAACUUGGAUAGAUAAGAUGCAACACACCGUACCCUUACAUAGAUGGGUACCCAUAGAUAAGUUCACGGACACGACAUGACACGACACAGCAUACAUGACAUAGAAAAGCAACAAAAUAAAAACGAUAAAACGAAAACAUGACGAGCUUGACUCCGGGCUCGCACCCCUUCUUGAACAUCUUCGUGUUUACCUCCUUCUUCCACCUUGGCCGCACGCCCCUUCAACACCGUCUUCAACUUCACACCUCCUCCUCCUCGUCGUAGGGAAGGGAGUGCAUCUGGCUUGGAGUGGGGAAGAUACUCUCGUAGUUGGUGUAGAUGUUGUACACCGUGAAGAAGAUGGACUCGCAUCCGCACCAACAGACUUGGCCGAGGAGCUCGCGCGCAUCAAACGGGUUGGUGAAGGUGACCGUGAGCAGUAGGAGGAUGCCACCGCGAUCACGAACCUUGUUGAGGGUGAACAUCCUAGGUGAGUCCCGUGGGAGGUGGGCAUAGCCGACUCCUAGGAAGGCGCGGGUGAGCUCGAUGGACCCCCUCCACCUUGAAGUCGCCCACACACGGAGCUCCCUCUCCACGAGCACGCCCGAUGGGUAGCAGAGCUCAGGCACGACAGGCGGACGAAGGAAGGUCGCCCCGUUGUGCUGCAUCUUCACUUGGUCGCUUGGAGAGGGCUCGAUCGCUUGGGUGUUUGAAGUUGCAGAGAAUGGAUCUGGCUUUUGGGUGGUGAGUGGGAGAGGAAGGAGAGGCACCCCAUUUAUAGGCCUGUUGGUGGGAGAGGAAGAGAGAAGGGAUGAGAACGGUGCGUGUGUGAAUCCGAACGUGUGUAUCCGUUACGUUUUGGACCCUUAAAUUUUUGCACGAAAACGAUGCAUUGGACACGUACGUGCAUUUGAAUCACAUCAUAGGGAAGCUCUUUGACCGGGCGCGUGCAUCUGACUCGCUGCUAUAAUCUGAACCAUUGGUGUAAUUUGAAACAACGGCCUAACUCUGAAUCAAUACGUGCAUGGCCACCUAGCUCGCCUAGCUCGCCUCGCUCGCAUGCAUGCACGCCCGCCUCCCGCGCAUGCAAACCCACGUCGCCGCCCUUCCCAUGCAUGCAGGCCUGGAAAGGCUGAGGCGGGCUAUUAACUGCGGUCUCAGGCCCAGACAGCGAGACGGCCCAACGGUCCAUCCAGCGCGCCCGAUACUUAUUGAGAAGAAACAAUCUCCCAGCCAAUCAGAUUGCAUCUCGUGGAUCGCCCCCCUCCUCCCCGCAGAUUCCUUCUAGAAGGGUUAGAUCGACGGUCCUUGAUCGCCGCUAGGGUUAGAUGGACGGUCCCUGUUCAGCGCUUGGAUUAGCGGGGUUUGGGAGGGGUUUGGAGCAGUCGAACAUAGGUUUUACCAGAUUUCCAAUGAGCAUAAUAAAUUAAAUAAAAAUCUGAAAAAUGGAAAACCUGUGCACAUAGUCUUCUUAUGUCAUAUACUAACGAUUUAAGUUGAUAAACAAGGUUUACAUACAUUUAAACGAAAAGUUCAUGUGUAUUAUGUGAUAUCUCAAGUAUCUCAAACUCUCUUGUAUGAAGUGAAGAGAAGUGUUUUGGGGAAAUGAACAUGAAAAUUUCAAAAAAAAACUCACCACAGCUUCAUUUUGGAGUGACUAAGAAGGAUCCAGGCUUAGUUUUUCAUUUUGAUGUUCUAGACUUGUUUAAAUCUUGGUUAAAGUUAGGUUUGACCAGAAUUCAAAUGAGCAAAAGAAAUAAAAAAAAAUCAAAAAAUGGAAAAACCAGCGCACAUAGUCUGUAUUUAUAAAAUAUGUGUGUAGGAAAGUUAUUUGGCUUUAGACAAGGUCGAAAAAAACUUGCUUAGAAAUAAGGCUGUUUACCCUAUCUUUGGACCCCUCUUUUUUAGCAUUUUUUUCAUGAAAAUUUCAAAAACCUCACCACAGCUUCAUUUUGGAGUGACUAAGAAGGAUCCAGGCUUAGCUUUUCAUUUUGAUGUUUUAGAUUUGUUUAAAUCUUGGUCAAAGUUAGGUUUGACCAGAAUUCAAAUGAGCAAAAAAAAGGAAAAACCAGCGCACAUAGUUUAUAUAUAUAGAAUAUAUGUGUAGGAAAGUUAUUUGGCUCAUCUAGACAAGGUAAAAAAAAUCUUGCUUAGAAAUGAGGCCGUUUACCCUACCUUUGGAGCUCUUUUUAGCACAUUUUUCAUGAAUGUGAGUUUACCAAAGUUUCAAAAGAAUUACAACAUUCAUAUAGCAUGUCAAAUUUGAAGUUCUAACAUAGGUCCAACAUUAUUCCAACAUAGUUCUAACAUAGGUCCAACAUCAUUCAGCAGAAAUACAACAUCACUCAAUACCUAGUUCAAUCUCGUUACCGGCAAGUCUCUUUACUCGUUCCGUGAUGCAUCAUCCCGUAACUAACUCAUUAGUCACAUUGCUUGCAAGACUUAUAGUGAUGUGCAUUACCGAGAGGGCCCAGAGAUACCUCUCCGAAACACGGAGUGACAAAUCCUAAUCUCGAUCUAUGCCAACCCAACAAACACCAUCGGAAACACCUUUAGAGCAUCUUUAUAAUCACCCAGUGACGUUUUGACGUUUGAUAGCACAUUAAGGGCGUGUUCGGUAGCUCUCUGACUCCCAACUCCUCUAACUCCAGGUGAGGAGUUGACCCGAACGGUAUAACUCCCGGAGUUCCUUGCAAGAAGCUGGCGAUUUUGGUAGUACAAAUUAUGAGGAGUGGUGGAGCUGCGAAAACCGAGCUCCUCGGAACCUAAGAAGCGAGAGUUGCCUAAAAUUACCCCCUCUGCCACCGCCAAGUGACCGUAGGACGUACCGGUUCGAGCACAUGUUUCCUCGUCAGCUACCAUUCCCCUGUCUCAUAGCCCAAAUAGUCUCAUAGCCCACCCAUUUUCCCAGCCGAUUGGGCCACAAUGAGCCUCAAUGGGCUUUUUGCGUGGGAUAUUCCAACGAGCGAAGAAGCUGCGCCGCCGAACGAUCUCCUAGCUCUGGGAUUUUAACGAGGAGUUAGGAGUUGGCGGCGGGCGAUGGAGUUGAGGAUUUGCUGGCUGUGGAGGGCUACCGAACAGGCCCUAAGUGUUCCUCCGGUAUUCGGGAGUUGCAUAAUCUCAUAGUCUACAAUGAUAUUCCUGAUUUGGAUAAUCCUGUUAGAAGCUUUAGAGUUUCUACAUCCAAUGUAGUAACUUAAUGUCUAUUUUGUAUACAAUCUAUCGGAACAACUUCCGGUUUGUAAAUCUACAUUUGCUUGCAUAAUUUAAGACUGGCAUUGAACAAAAAAAAUGCUGCUGCGCACAUAUAAUUUCCACUUGGACCAUUGUAAUUCUUUCCCUAAUGGGUAACUGUUACAUAUGAUCCAUGUAGAGUUCAUAUGUUCCAAACGGAGCUUAGUAGUGGAGCGGGACAUCACCCCAUCUCUGAAAAAUGGGGAAUAAUUCUAAUUGGUGGUAGAGACUAACAAGGACGUUCCCUCUAUCAACCUCAUUAUUCAAAAGGAAUUUCGGAUUUGAUGGGAGUGGUGCAUCAGCGGCUUGAUAUCUAUUGGAGUGCUUGUGCUUCUAUGGUUGGUUGGCUUUCACAUGGAUUGUUGUCUAAUAUGGGAAUAAGAUCUUAGUAGAAAAAGUGAGGACAAAGCCCGAAUGAGAGUUAAUUAGAGUACUGGUUGUGCUAUAACUUUGCAUUUGGUAAAAGUGUUGAUUACGGUGCUUUUGAGUCAACUAUUAGGCUUGUUUAUUGCGGGAGUUAAAUGUAAUUUAAUUUGAAUUGGUAGAGGUCCAACAUAAAUUGCGGGUCAAUUGGUCUGGUUUCGGUACGAAAAAAAAACACUAGUAGAAAACUGUGGACAUGGCACGCCCCACAAGUCUGUACGGUCAUAGAGUUUUAAUAAGGAUAAUUCUUAUCAACAAUUUUGCUAAGUGAGAUAUAAUGGAUAAAAUUUGACUGAAUUAGUGUCAAAUAUGUCAAAANNNNNNNNNNNNNNNNNNNNNNNNNNNNNNNNNNNNNNNNNNNNNNNNNNNNNNNNNNNNNNNNNNNNNNNNNNNNNNNNNNNNNNNNNNNNNNNNNNNNNNNNNNNNNNNNNNNNNNNNNNNNNNNNNNNNNNNNNNNNNNNNNNNNNNNNNGUUCAUUGUAAUCUAGAAUUUGGGCCAGCUGGUGCCCCUCCCCUUUUGUACAGACUUGUGUAAUCAUUUUCAUCACUAAAAAGGAAAUUACCACUACCCAGUUGUUUCAGGUAGGAAGAAACAAUUAGGUACCCAAGAGGUUUGUUAACCAAGGACAACCCAGCAAUAAAGACCCUUAUGGAGUACUAAUAACUACUAGAUCUGUUACUAAAUAUAAGACACUUUGGUGGUUUAAAUUGAACUGCCAAAAUAUUUUAUAUUUAGGAACAGAGGGUGUAGAUAAUUGCAUGUACGUUUGCAAUGUCAACGUAGAUAUUUUAAUAGGUUAGCCAUAAUUUACUUGUCCAUAUUAAUGUGAUUGCAUAAAAAAUAAGAGUUUUAUUUUGUACACAUUUAUUGGCUUGCUAAAAAGGCACAAUUUUAUUUGGUUAGUUAAUAAGAAAUUGGACAAUUGAGGUUGUGAGCAAACCCAGAUAUGUGAGGCAAAAAUCAAAAAACAUUAUAGAGUAGGUUGGAUGGAGGACGAAUGAUUAAGAAAAUAUUUUGUUACCCAUCUCUUCUUUUUUCGUCCGCACAAAAUAACAAAAAUCUUGUAGCCAAGUCCCUAAAACGUGGGAAUUCUCGCCGGAAAUUUCGGCAGCAUAACGCGUAGAAACAUGCAAAUCGGUGAUACAAAUCUCUCUACUAUUUGGCAUGUUUGACAUGGAAGGACCGCCACCGGCUUUCUAAAUGCACACCGACACUAUAUUUAGCUAUGAAAAUGCAGCUGUCACUCCUUUACAUACUAGCUAGUCAUUUUUCAUCACCGAACCGCUAGAUGCGAGCUAAAAUUACCAACAUCUAUGCCCUUGGUACGAAUUUCUGGACUAGCAUCCUAGCUACAAACGCCUUCAGCAAGCUUUGCCUUCUCAUGUGUGACAGAAAUGCAACACAAAGCAUUUGUCUAGAAGAGCAAGCCAAUUUUCUUUUGACCAAUCCAAGCUAGUGCCAGCAAACCAAAAUAUUUACGUCUUGCCACAAUAAGAUAAAAACAUAUAAUCCAUUAAUUGCAGCACGGAACCAAAAAUGGCAAAUUCAACGACUAUACUAAAACAUCACAUAUGUUCUCAGGAAACAUAGUCUCCUAUUCUAACAGAAAGAACUACUACAGUUAGUCUACAGUCUGCACGCAAAAAUUAGAUCAAGUGAGAACAUUGCAUGGAUGGCAAGUAAAAGGGGCCCAAAAGAUGUGUAUUUAUGUUUUCUUAUAAGAGAGUAUUAUAUUCUCAUGGACUGUUGGCUCAUUUUACAAACUGUUGGAAAAUUCACUACCUUGUUGGCUCAAUUUUACACUGUUAGAAAAUUCACUGCUACCUUGUUACAUCUUCUGCAUUAAAAACAAAUCAUGUAGCCAGCGACAGUAGUAGAAACUACUCGUGCAUAAUUUAAGACUGGCAUUGAACAAAAAAAUACUACUGCGCACAUAUAAUUGUUCUUUCUAUUAACCUACCUUUGCUUGCAUUGGCCUGUCUGGAUCUUAAUUCAAAAACAAACACCUAAUUCAUCCUCAAAAGUACACACCUGCAUCCAACGACUACUCCAUCUCUGCCCUCAUGUCCCCUGACAAGUAGAACCAUCUACAUCACAAGAAAACUCAUCAGAAGUUUGAGUUUCUUCUGAGAGAGAAAGAAGGUUAGAUCGAGAAAGGGUGUGCUCUUACCGUCGAGGGCGGACCAAACCCACAGCCGAUCAGUGCUGCUACAUCAUCGGAAGGAACGGCGUGGCACAGCUUUCGGUCUCCAUGUAUGGAUGCGUUGUAGAUAAUGUGAGGUACAGAGCAGACGGAGUCAUGGAGAGGAAGGGGGGAUGCGGAGAGGAGGGAUUGGAUAUAAUUUAUAGAGGGAGGAGAGCGGGCGAGAGAUGAGGAGAGACGUCGGAUGGGUGGGUCAAUCCACGUGAGAGUCACAAGGGUCCGAUGGAUGGCAUGUGGCACAAAACGAGAGAGGGAGUAAAUUGUGGAGGAGACGGUCCUGGUUCAGGCUGCAGGUGCGACUGCAUGUGGGCGUCCCACCACAACCUCACCUAGUCCCACCGCUGGUUGAUGGGCACUAAUGGACAGCCCACUAAAAGUAUGAUGGAUUAAGUGGAAAUAAGUGGGUUCCCACAUAAGAAAUGUAUAUGUAUUUCAGGUUCAUAAACUGCAGGCUAUAGACAGACUUGCUUGCAAGUUAUUUAAGCUACAAUACUAAUGAAAAUCAUCUGAAUAUAACUUUGGUUCAGGAUACAUGCCACCAGAUUGUACAACAAUAGUAAACUUGACACUAACAUCACACAAAAAUUAGUGCCCAUCACAAAUGGCAAACUUGACAAGGCUAUAUGGCUAUAUGCUCUGAACAUCGCGACACCAUCUUUCUUCACAUCAUGCGAGGAAGCAUCCAACAGCACGACCCGUGAAAGAGCCCACAAAUCACCAAUAAAAGAAGCCUCUGCCCAUGGUCCCAGAAACUCAUAGAACCUGAGGGGAUGAACAUGGUCACCUCGGUUAGCCAAUUAGAAAAACAUAUGCUAGUCCCUAAAGCAUGGAAAGAUGGAUGUAUAAUACGUUGGCAGUACAGACUACGGAGACAAUAGUGAAACAAUAGAAUACAUUGUAUACGAGGAUGAAAGACAUCCUUCUAAUUAAGCUACUGUAGUUAGCAAUGCAUCUUUUUUUAAUAUAGUUUGGCAAUGAAAAUAUUAGAGCCUUGGCAUAAUAGGUAUGUGAAACCUUCGGAAUAUCAAUCGUUAUUUUUAUGCCAGAAUAACAAAAUGGAAUCUGAUGUACCUUAAGGUGGUUCCAGCAUGGUCCAAAGAAAAAAAANNNNNNNNNNNNNNNNNNNNNNNNNNNNNNNNNNNNNNNNNNNNNNNNNNNNNNNNNNNNNNNNNNNNNNNNNNNNNNNNNNNNNNNNNNNNNNNNNNNNAUAGUAGAUGAGUAUACCACCUAACUAGCUAAAGACUGAAAGGGUAGUUAAUUACCAUCAAACCACUUGAGAGCCACCAUCGAAUAUGCUGCGGCACUCACAACGUAAUAUUUUGUAUUCCAAGAUCUUCCUGGAAUAGGCACACCCUGAAUCCAGGAAAUAGGUAGUUCCAGAUAACUACCUCAGCCCUGGCAAUGUCCGUUACCCGACCUCUGAUAUCUCCUCACGGGCGAAAUAAUCAAUUGAUCUCAUCCCGUAGCCCAGGCAGGAUAACAUGUGAGCCAGUCUGAGGGAAACAAAGAGGAAGCAAUCAAUGACAAAGUAUGAUUUCUAAAACAUAUCAACAUUAUUAUGGGGUGGGCAGGGGGCAUUUGCCCCCUCCCCCCUCCCGGCGCAUUUCAUCACAUUGUAUUUAUUCAAUAGUUGUUUAUAGCUAUGUGCAUAUAUCUUAUAAUCAUCAUUUGCAUUAUAUAAUCGCUAGUCAGCAACCAGUGCAGAGGGGUAGGAAUUUUUGGAAGUAAACAUAAAUUAUAGGAGGGUCUGUGUAAUAGUACUUUUUCAAUUUUGAAUUCAUUUUCUGUUAGAUUAUAGGGAAACAAAAGAAUUGCGAUUCAAAGAUCAUCGUAUAACCAUGUAUUAGUUUGCUUUGUUUCCAUGUAGGAAAAAUAUACUUCUUGUAAAAAUAUAUUAUAGGCGGGUCUAUGUAAUAGUAGCUUUUGGUUUAUGAUUUUUUAAUUAGAUUAUAGGUAAACAUAAGAAUUGCGUUUCAUAGCUCAUCGUAUAACCAUGUAAUAAUUUGCUCUGUUUCAACGUAGGAAAAACAUAUUUCUUCAGCUAAAUUAGGGUUGGAGGGGGGAUUCACUUUGUGAAGCUCUGAGCUACGAUUAUCUAGUGAUGUAUGUGAAAGAAAUAUGAUCCUUUUAACAAAUGGGUUAAUUAUCCUUUUGCCCUCAAUGGUGUCCAUGUGCUCAGUUUUGCCUUCAGAUACGAAUCGUGCUCAGUUUUGCCCCUCGUUCGUGCGCACCAACUCGUUCUGUGAACUCUGCCGUCUCCGUCAGGUCAACCUUUUGACUCGGCCCUUACAGGUGGGACCAGGCGGCAGAAACGCCCUAGAAGAUCAGACCGUUGCACGCGUGGCUUGUGGGACCCGGCAGAGAGCCGUUGCAGGUGUGCUAUAUAAGCGGGCGACAGACAGCGGCCGUGACCACGGCGACAGAGAGCAUGGCGGUGACCACGAUGAGAGAGAGAGAGCGGCGGUGGGAAGCUAGCUGUGGAGGGUGCGACGGCGUUCAGAUCCCCUUCGGCUCCGAGCUCCAUGUAUUCCUCAAGCUCAUGUGCCACCUCGCGGAUGCAGAGCCGGGCGCGUGUGGACAUGCGUGUCUUCGUCUGUCCGCGGUGCCGGGCGGGCGUUGAUCGGAGGGUUUCUCACACAUCGAGGAACCAGAUUCGUCCAUUCUACGUGUGCAACGAGAAUGGGGUAAGAAUCGGGGCAAUUGCACCAUUUUCGUGGUCAGGAUCUUUGAGCAAUGGGUUGAUCUAUUUGGCGUUCAUGCAGGUGACAUGCUUCUUUCUUUGGGUCGAUGCUCUGGCCAAGACUCUGAUUAAUGAACUGCAAGAAGAGCAUGAAGAAUAGUUGUGCAUGCUGCCACAAACUGUAAUGGUCGCAGCACGAGCUUCGGAAGAAGAGAUGGAGGGCGAAGCACACACUAACAGAGAGCUAGUGGUUGAGCUUAGGAUGUUGAAGAAGAAGGUUAGGAAGCUUGAAGAUCAAGCACAAAUACCAAUACCCAUUUGCAAUUACUUUUGGGCAUUUGUAGGUAUGGUAAUCGCACUUGGUGUAAUGUUGAAAUUGUAUGGAAAGGCAUGAAUUAUGGAGGAAUUUAUUAGCUUGAAAUUGUAUGAGAAAUUCACCUAGUUUAAAUGCUGGUCAAAGUUGUUUAAAUGUUGAAAAAAAGAGAAGAAGUGACCAACAUGUAAAUAUGUUGAAAAAGGGAGAAGAGAUGAGGAAUUCAGAAACUUUUGAUCAAUGAAAUGCAGCUCUCUGCUCUGCCUUUCUAUCAAAAAAAAGGUUCCUCUGUGGGCCAAAUUCAGAGCGUAGAGCCAAGUACCGGCUAGACUAAUGGGCCAACUGAUCCAAUUAGGCCCAUUUGGGGGUUCUCUAGCGUGUUUUUCUGUUUUCUGUUCUGAUUUAAUUUAGGUAGUAAAUCAUAAUGCUGAAACUUUUUGUGGAAGCUAAUUGAAUUAUUCCAGAGCCAAACAAUUAAGUUUAGAAUUUUUUGGAGCUGUUAAAUAUUUAAUAGCAAUUUAAUUACUCCAAUUCAAAUACACCGUGAUUUAAAUCAAAGACCAAAAUGUCAUGGAAAAUGUGCCUCAGCUAUGGUAGAGGUUUACACCUGGUGCCAAAAUUAAUGUACAUUUUUUAAGGGCAUUACAUUGAAAAAAAACUUGUCUAAAAAUGAAGGGUGAAAAAUGCACAAAAAAUUGGUGCGGCUGGGGACUCGAACCCAGGACCGUGUGGGUUUGUGGCGUUUAGGGCUACGCUGGUAACUGCUAGGGCAGAUGGAAAGACUUUGAUAUGGGUAGGGAAGGAAAGUAUACAUAGUGAGACCAUUUGUUUGUACUGAAUGUUUGCACACGUGUUAGAGUGGUUUUCCUUUGUUUUGCACUGAAAUUUUGGAGUGUUGCAAACGUAUGUUUGCACUGCCACAUGAUUUUGGUUAGAGUGACACUUGGUUUAGGAUUUAAAGGGAAUAAAUUUGCAUGUUAGUUCAUGACUUUGUUUAGGAAAGAAAUGAUAUGUUUGGGCACGGACAUUUCUUAACACACAUAAUAACUUGGAUAGAUAAGAUGCAACACACCGUACCCUUACAUAGAUGGGUACCCAUAGAUAAGUUCACGGACACGACAUGACACGACACAGCAUACAUGACAUAGAAAAGCAACAAAAUAAAAACGAUAAAACGAAAACAUGACGAGCUUGACUCCGGGCUCGCACCCCUUCUUGAACAUCUUCGUGUUUACCUCCUUCUUCCACCUUGGCCGCACGCCCCUUCAACACCGUCUUCAACUUCACACCUCCUCCUCCUCGUCGUAGGGAAGGGAGUGCAUCUGGCUUGGAGUGGGGAAGAUGCUCUCGUAGUUGGUGUAGAUGUUGUACACCGUGAAGAAGAUGGACUCGCAUCCGCACCAACAGACUUGGCCGAGGAGCUCGCGCGCAUCAAACGGGUUGGUGAAGGUGACCGUGAGCAGUAGGAGGAUGCCACUGCGAUCACGAACCUUGUUGAGGGUGAACAUCCUAGGCGAGUCCGUGGGAGGUGGGCAUAGCCGACUCUGAGGAAGGCGCGGGUGAGCUCGAUGGACCCCCUCCACCUUGAAGUCGCCCACACACGGAGCUCCCUCUCCACGAGCACGCCCGGUGGGUAGCACAGCUCAGGCACGACAUGCGGACGAAGGAAGGUCGCCUCGUUGUGCUGCAUCUUCACUUGGUCGCUUGGAGAGGGCUCGAUCGCUUGGGUGUUUGAAGUUGCAGAGAAUGGAUCUGGCUUUUGGGUGGUGAGUGGGAGAGGAAGGAGAGGCACCCCAUUUAUAGGCCUGUUGGUGGGAGAGGAAGAGAGAAGGGAUGAGAACGGUGCGUGUGUGAAUCCGAACGUGUGUAUCCGUUACGUUUUGGACCCUUAAAUUUUUGCAUGAAAAUGAUGCAUUGGACACGUACGUGCAUUUGAAUCACAUCAUAGGGAAGCUCUUUGACCGGGCGCGUGCAUCUGACUCGCUGCUGUAAUCUGAACCAUUGGUGUAAUUUGAAACAACGGCCUAACUCUGAAUCAAUACGUGCAUGGCCACCUAGCUCGCCUAGCUCGCCUCGCUCGCAUGCAUGCACAUCCGCCUCCCGCGCAUGCAAACCCAUGUCGCCGCCCUUCCCAUGCAUGCAGGCCUGGAAAGGCUGAGGCGGGCUAUUAACUGCGGUCUCAGGCCCAGACAGCGAGACGGCCCAACGGUCCAUCCAGCGCGCCCGAUACUUAUUGAGAAGAAACAAUCUCCCAGCCAAUCAGAUUGCAUCUCGUGGAUCGCCCCCCUCCUCCCCGCAGAUUCCUUCUAGAAGGGUUAGAUCGACGGUCCUUGAUCGCCGCUAGGGUUAGAUGGACGGUCCCUGUUCAGCGCUUGGAUUAGCGGGGUUUGGGAGGGGUUUGGAGCAGUCGAACAUAGGUUUUACCAGAUUUCCAAUGAGCAUAAUAAAUUAAAUAAAAAUCUGAAAAAUGGAAAACCUGUGCACAUAGUCUUCUUAUGUCAUAUACUAACGAUUUAAGUUGAUAAACAAGGUAUACAUACAUUUAAACGAAAAGUUCAUGUGUAUUAUGUGAUAUCUCAAGUAUCUCAAACUCUCUUGUAUGAAGUGAAGAGAAGUGUUUUGGGGAAAUGAACAUGAAAAUUUCAAAAAAAAACUCACCACAGCUUCAUUUUGGAGUGACUAAGAAGGAUCCAGGCUUAGUUUUUCAUUUUGAUGUUCUAGACUUGUUUAAAUCUUGGUUAAAGUUAGGUUUGACCAGAAUUCAAAUGAGCAAAAGAAAUAAAAAAAAAUCAAAAAAUGGAAAAACCAGCGCACAUAGUCUGUAUUUAUAAAAUAUGUGUGUAGGAAAGUUAUUUGGCUUUAGACAAGGUCGAAAAAAACUUGCUUAGAAAUAAGGCUGUUUACCCUAUCUUUGGACCCCUCUUUUUUAGCAUUUUUUUCAUGAAAAUUUCAAAAACCUCACCACAGCUUCAUUUUGGAGUGACUAAGAAGGAUCCAGGCUUAGCUUUUCAUUUUGAUGUUUUAGAUUUGUUUAAAUCUUGGUCAAAGUUAGGUUUGACCAGAAUUCAAAUGAGCAAAAAAAAGGAAAAACCAGCGCACAUAGUUUAUAUAUAUAGAAUAUAUGUGUAGGAAAGUUAUUUGGCUCAUCUAGACAAGGUAAAAAAAAUCUUGCUUAGAAAUGAGGCCGUUUACCCUACCUUUGGAGCUCUUUUUAGCACAUUUUUCAUGAAUGUGAGUUUACCGAAGUUUCAAAAGAAUUACAACAUUCAUAUAGCAUGUCAAAUUUGAAGUUCUAACAUAGGUCCAACAUUAUUCCAACAUAGUUCUAACAUAGGUCCAACAUCAUUCAGCAGAAAUACAACAUCACUCAAUACCUAGUUCAAUCUCGUUACCGGCAAGUCUCUUUACUCGUUCCGUGAUGCAUCAUCCCAUAACUAACUCAUUAGUCACAUUGCUUGCAAGACUUAUAGUGAUGUGCAUUACCGAGAGGGCCCAGAGAUACCUCUCCGAAACACGGAGUGACAAAUCCUAAUCUCGAUCUAUGCCAACCCAACAAACACCAUCGGAAACACCUUUAGAGCAUCUUUAUAAUCACCCAGUGACGUUUUGACGUUUGAUAGCACAUUAAGGGCGUGUUCGGUAGCUCUCUGACUCCCAACUCCUCUAACUCCAGGUGAGGAGUUGACCCGAACGGUAUAACUCCCGGAGUUCCUUGCAAGAAGCUGGCGAUUUUGGUAGUACAAAUUAUGAGGAGGGGUGGAGCUGCGAAAACCGAGCUCCUCGGAACCUAAGAAGCGAGAGUUGCCUGAAAUUACCCCCUCUACCACCGCCAAGUGACCGUAGGACGUACCGGUUCGAGCACAUGUUUCCUCGUCAGCUACCAUUCCCCUGUCUCAUAGCCCAAAUAGUCUCAUAGCCCACCCAUUUUCCCAGCCGACUGGGCCACAAUGAGCCUCAAUGGGCUUUUUGCGUGGGAUAUUCCAACGAGCGAAGAAGCUGCGCCGCCGAACGAUCUCCUAGCUCUGGGAUUUUAACGAGGAGUUAGGAGUUGGCGGCGGGCGAUGGAGUUGAGGAUUUGCUGGCUGUGGAGGGCUACCGAACAGGCCCUAAGUGUUCCUCCGGUAUUCAGGAGUUGCAUAAUCUCAUAGUCUACAAUGAUAUUCCUGAUUUGGAUAAUCCUGUUAGAAGCUUUAGAGUUUUUACAUCCAAUGUAGUAACUUAAUGUCUAUUUUGUAUACAAUCUAUCGGAACAACUUCCGGUUUGUAAAUCUACAUUUGCUUGCAUAAUUUAAGACUGGCAUUGAACAAAAAAGAUGCUGCUGCGCACAUAUAAUUUCCACUUGGAGCAUUGUAAUUCUUUCCCUAAUGGGUAACUGUUACAUAUGAUCCAUGUAGAGUUCAUAUGUUCCAAACGGAGCUUAGUAGUGGAGCGGGACAUCACCCCAUCUCUGNNNNNNNNNNNNNNNNNNNNNNNNNNNNNNNNNNNNNNNNNNNNNNNNNNNNNNNNNNNNNNNNNNNNNNNNNNNNNNNNNNNNNNNNNNNNNNNNNNNNNNNNNNNNNNNNNNNNNNNNNNNNNNNNNNNNNNNNNNNNNNNNNNNNNNNNNNNNNNNNNNNNNNNNNNNNNNNNNNNNNNNNNNNNNNNNNNNNNNNNNNNNNNNNNNNNNNNNNNNNNNNNNNNNNNNNNNNNNNNNNNNNNNNNNNNNNNNNNNNNNNNNNNNNNNNNNNNNNNNNNNNNNNNNNNNNNNNNNNNNNNNNNNNNNNNNNNNNNNNNNNNNNNNNNNNNNNNNNNNNNNNNNNNNNNNNNNNNNNNNNNNNNNNNNNNNNNNNNNNNNNNNNNNNNNNNNNNNNNNNNNNNNNNNNNNNNNNNNNNNNNNNNNNNNNNNNNNNNNNNNNNNNNNNNNNNNNNNNNNNNNNNNNNNNNNNNNNNNNNNNNNNNNNNNNNNNNNNNNNNNNNNNNNNNNNNNNNNNNNNNNNNNNNNNNNNNNNNNNNNNNNNNNNNNNNNNNNNNNNNNNNNNNNNNNNNNNNNNNNNNNNNNNNNNNNNNNNNNNNNNNNNNNNNNNNNNNNNNNNNNNNNNNNNNNNNNNNNNNNNNNNNNNNNNNNNNNNNNNNNNNNNNNNNNNNNNNNNNNNNNNNNNNNNNNNNNNNNNNNNNNNNNNNNNNNNNNNNNNNNNNNNNNNNNNNNNNNNNNNNNNNNNNNNNNNNNNNNNNNNNNNNNNNNNNNNNNNNNNNNNNNNNNNNNNNNNNNNNNNNNNNNNNNNNNNNNNNNNNNNNNNNNNNNNNNNNNNNNNNNNNNNNNNNNNNNNNNNNNNNNNNNNNNNNNNNNNNNNNNNNNNNNNNNNNNNNNNNNNNNNNNNNNNNNNNNNNNNNNNNNNNNNNNNNNNNNNNNNNNNNNNNNNNNNNNNNNNNNNNNNNNNNNNNNNNNNNNNNNNNNNNNNNNNNNNNNNNNNNNNNNNNNNNNNNNNNNNNNNNNNNNNNNNNNNNNNNNNNNNNNNNNNNNNNNNNNNNNNNNNNNNNNNNNNNNNNNNNNNNNNNNNNNNNNNNNNNNNNNNNNNNNNNNNNNNNNNNNNNNNNNNNNNNNNNNNNNNNNNNNNNNNNNNNNNNNNNNNNNNNNNNNNNNNNNNNNNNNNNNNNNNNNNNNNNNNNNNNNNNNNNNNNNNNNNNNNNNNNNNNNNNNNNNNNNNNNNNNNNNNNNNNNNNNNNNNNNNNNNNNNNNNNNNNNNNNNNNNNNNNNNNNNNNNNNNNNNNNNNNNNNNNNNNNNNNNNNNNNNNNNNNNNNNNNNNNNNNNNNNNNNNNNNNNNNNNNNNNNNNNNNNNNNNNNNNNNNNNNNNNNNNNNNNNNNNNNNNNNNNNNNNNNNNNNNNNNNNNNNNNNNNNNNNNNNNNNNNNNNNNNNNNNNNNNNNNNNNNNNNNNNNNNNNNNNNNNNNNNNNNNNNNNNNNNNNNNNNNNNNNNNNNNNNNNNNNNNNNNNNNNNNNNNNNNNNNNNNNNNNNNNNNNNNNNNNNNNNNNNNNNNNNNNNNNNNNNNNNNNNNNNNNNNNNNNNNNNNNNNNNNNNNNNNNNNNNNNNNNNNNNNNNNNNNNNNNNNNNNNNNNNNNNNNNNNNNNNNNNNNNNNNNNNNNNNNNNNNNNNNNNNNNNNNNNNNNNNNNNNNNNNNNNNNNNNNNNNNNNNNNNNNNNNNNNNNNNNNNNNNNNNNNNNNNNNNNNNNNNNNNNNNNNNNNNNNNNNNNNNNNNNNGAGCUAAAAUUACCAACAUCUAUGCCCUUGGUACGAAUUUCUGGACUAGCAUCCUAGCUACAAACGCCUUCAGCAAGCUUUGCCUUCUCAUGUGUGACAGAAAUGCAACACAAAGCAUUUGUCUAGAAGAGCAAGCCAAUUUUCUUUUGACCAAUCCAAGCUAGUGCCAGCAAACCAAAAUAUUUACGUCUUGCCACAAUAAGAUAAAAACAUAUAAUCCAUUAAUUGCAGCACGGAACCAAAAAUGGCAAAUUCAACGACUAUACUAAAACAUCACAUAUGUUCUCAGGAAACAUAGUCUCCUAUUCUAACAGAAAGAACUACUACAGUUAGUCUACAGUCUGCACGCAAAAAUUAGAUCAAGUGAGAACAUUGCAUGGAUGGCAAGUAAAAGGGGCCCAAAAGAUGUGUAUUUAUGUUUUCUUAUAAGAGAGUAUUAUAUUCUCAUGGACUGUUGGCUCAUUUUACAAACUGUUGGAAAAUUCACUACCUUGUUGGCUCAAUUUUACACUGUUAGAAAAUUCACUGCUACCUUGUUACAUCUUNNNNNNNNNNNNNNNNNNNNNNNNNNNNNNNNNNNNNNNNNNNNNNNNNNNNNNNNNNNNNNNNNNNNNNNNNNNNNNNNNNNNNNNNNNNNNNNNNNNNNNNNNNNNNNNNNNNNNNNNNNNNNNNNNNNNNNNNNNNNNNNNNNNNNNNNNNNNNNNNNNNNNNNNNNNNNNNNNNNNNNNNNNNNNNNNNNNNNNNNNNNNNNNNNNNNNNNNNNNNNNNNNNNNNNNNNNNNNNNNNNNNNNNNNNNNNNNNNNNNNNNNNNNNNNNNNNNNNNNNNNNNNNNNNNNNNNNNNNNNNNNNNNNNNNNNNNNNNNNNNNNNNNNNNNNNNNNNNNNNNNNNNNNNNNNNNNNNNNNNNNNNNNNNNNNNNNNNNNNNNNNNNNNNNNNNNNNNNNNNNNNNNNNNNNNNNNNNNNNNNNNNNNNNNNNNNNNNNNNNNNNNNNNNNNNNNNNNNNNNNNNNNNNNNNNNNNNNNNNNNNNNNNNNNNNNNNNNNNNNNNNNNNNNNNNNNNNNNNNNNNNNNNNNNNNNNNNNNNNNNNNNNNNNNNNNNNNNNNNNNNNNNNNNNNNNNNNNNNNNNNNNNNNNNNNNNNNNNNNNNNNNNNNNNNNNNNNNNNNNNNNNNNNNNNNNNNNNNNNNNNNNNNNNNNNNNNNNNNNNNNNNNNNNNNNNNNNNNNNNNNNNNNNNNNNNNNNNNNNNNNNNNNNNNNNNNNNNNNNNNNNNNNNNNNNNNNNNNNNNNNNNNNNNNNNNNNNNNNNNNNNNNNNNNNNNNNNNNNNNNNNNNNNNNNNNNNNNNNNNNNNNNNNNNNAAUAAGUGGGUUCCCACAUAAGAAAUGUAUAUGUAUUUCAGGUUCAUAAACUGCAGGCUAUAGACAGACUUGCUUGCAAGUUAUUUAAGCUACAAUACUAAUGAAAAUCAUCUGAAUAUAACUUUGGUUCAGGAUACAUGCCACCAGAUUGUACAACAAUAGUAAACUUGACACUAACAUCACACAAAAAUUAGUGCCCAUCACAAAUGGCAAACUUGACAAGGCUAUAUGGCUAUAUGCUCUGAACAUCGCGACACCAUCUUUCUUCACAUCAUGCGAGGAAGCAUCCAACAGCACGACCCGUGAAAGAGCCCACAAAUCACCAAUAAAAGAAGCCUCUGCCCAUGGUCCCAGAAACUCAUAGAACCUGAGGGGAUGAACAUGGUCACCUCGGUUAGCCAAUUAGAAAAACAUAUGCUAGUCCCUAAAGCAUGGAAAGAUGGAUGUAUAAUACGUUGGCAGUACAGACUACGGAGACAAUAGUGAAACAAUAGAAUACAUUGUAUACGAGGAUGAAAGACAUCCUUCUAAUUAAGCUACUGUAGUUAGCAAUGCAUCUUUUUUUAAUAUAGUUUGGCAAUGAAAAUAUUAGAGCCUUGGCAUAAUAGGUAUGUGAAACCUUCGGAAUAUCAAUCGUUAUUUUUAUGCCAGAAUAACAAAAUGGAAUCUGAUGUACCUUAAGGUGGUUCCAGCAUGGUCCAAAGAAAAAAAAAUCUGUAAAUAUUCAGAGCAGAUUCUGUAGAUAGAAAAAACUGAGAAUUAUAAGGUACAAGAGACAUGAAUAAACUAUUUGUUUGUGCUUCCAGUCCAAAGCACAAAUGUAUUGCAACCUCAACUAGUACUUCACAUCAAUACAAUGAAAGAUCAGUUAUCAUACAUGUCCUAAUGAGUUAAAAUAUUACCCCAGGACAACAAAGAAUGAUUGUACUGAAGUGCAGCGUACAAGUAGCAGAAUUACCUAGGUUGUUCCAGCAUCGUCUUGAUCACCACCACGGUCUCCAACUGUUGGCUCUGCCUUUUGGCGAUCUGCAAUGUCAAAGGAAUUCAAAAUGAAACAUUCAACAUGGAAAGUAUUAAAUGGAGUAUGGGAAAAAUAAUUAAAAGCAUAUUACCAGCAGCUCUAAGCCAAUCCUCAAGGCACAUCAGCGUCUCGACAAUACUCAGGAUCAAACUACUUCUUUGAUCACUGAUGAUCCUUCCAGCAUUGCUGAAUGCAGCCUCUGCAGGCACGGUAGACGCGGGCACUGCCAAUAUGUCCCGUGCUAUAGCUGCAAGCACUGGAUACUUUGGGGAGUGAAUCUCCCACCACUUUAAGAUAUCCAACUUUUGUUGACGAGGAAACAAGUCUUCUUCAAGAUAUUAUUGUAGCUCAUUCGAGUUGUGGGAUCUUUUCAAUCUCAAAUGCUUACCCCAAUCAUCAAGAGUGUCCUCCACAUCCUCCUCCGCAAGCUCAUCACCUUCAUCAGAGGUGUUUUCAAAUUCAGAUGCAUAUUCAGCAAAUAAGAUCUUCAUCGCAUUCUUCACCAUGGUAAGAUAUUUCUCGGCGCCACCACCAAAAGCUGCGGUCAGUCGGAAGUCAACUAUCAUUGCUCAAAACAGAAAAAUUAGCAUGUGAAGCACACUGUUCCAAAAUUCUGAUCAGUACCUAAGUAAACAAAGAAAUGCAAAUCACAUAAUAACUACCACGUCACUUGUAAUGCAAAUCAUGUUCAGAACUGCAUGGUGAUUUUUAUGAAGAUGACAGAAUGAUAACAACUACAAAGCAGAGGAUAAAAUAACCGAAGCAGUGUCUAUCCAAUUGGUACACAUGAUGCCAGUCCCUGUACCACCUAACUAUCAUUUUAACAACAAGCUUUGGAUCUUCAGUUGGAUAAAUCACAAGGAUUUGGUUUUAGUUAGAUUUAAGAACUUUGGUCCUUCAGACAACAAAUGUACCAGCGAUCGAAUGUACCUUCUGCCCACGACCUGGGCGUCGAGGUUGGGGGUGGCGGCGACCUGGGCGUCGGGAUUGACGCUGCCGGUGAUCUUAUAGUUGGGCUAGGGGCUGGCGGUGAUCUGGCCAUCACGUCCUACUGCAGUAAAGAGUAACAGGUUUUCAAAAUUGUAACAAGCAUCUGCAAAAGAAGUAGUACUACUAGAUAGAUAUACAAGUACGCAGUAUCCAUUGACAAUGUCUCUCUUCUCCCUCCUCUUCUGCACUAGUGCCAACUGCCACAACCAGCUGGCCUAGACCAAGCAAACCAAAUCAUGUACUUACUAAGUUACUAUACUACGCAUCAGGACAAGCUAGCACUUUUUCACAAAAGAAAACAAAAGCAAACUACAAAGCACAGUUUUUUUAAGCCGGAGAGGAACUUGGAAAGACCGAUGUUAAUCGAAGCUCUAGCUCGCCUGAAUGUAGCCAAAUGGCUGUCAUUUAGUAGUACUCGUAUUAGUUAAUUAUUAUCCGGCCAGACCUAUCGAGAUAUCGAGGUCAGGAUUAAUUUCCAAAUGACUAGCCCUCAAUUGUCUACAAUGGUGCAUUCAACUUUGCAGUGCCACACUAUUACCAAAGGCAUUUGACGAAAGGCUGCAUCAAAACAGUGGUUAAUUACUGACACAUUUAUGCGAUGGUGCGCUUUGCAUUGUAGCACUAUAAGAGGGAAACUAGUGUUCACUUGCAUGACGGGAUCACAGGCGAAUAAGUCGAUUGGUGUGUUUUAACAAGUGCACACACAACGGAGAACACCAGCACUCCAGAAGGUCAGGUGUUCAGUCCACACGGAUAUGCAGACAGACAGUAAGUCAGUAGGUACUACUACUGCAGAAAAUAUGCCCUCGCUAAGCUGAGAUCUCAAUCAACAAAGGCAAGAAGUCGACCAAACCAAACCAACCAGGGUGUUGUUCUUAACGCUGAGCAUGAGAAUGGAGAGGGGCCCCAUGCUGAACUCCUCCUCCUCCUUCUUCCCUUGCUGCCAACAAAACAAAGACAGAACCAAUGACCGUGUCAGUAAGCUGCUGUGGCGGAUGAGAACACCGGCGAGGGAGAAGAGGGGCGGCCGGAAGAGCAGUGCGCCGCCGACGGGCCGGCCGGAGGGGCGGCGACUCAAACUCUAUCCUUGCAAGAACUCGGCGAUGUGCCGCUGGCAAUUCCUAUUUGGCGCCUGCGGCGCCCGUUACAGUGCAAUCUACAAACGGGCGCCUGCAGCAGUCCAAGCUGGGCCGGCCCGUUCUACGUUUUUCUUUUCUGGGAAGGAUAAAAAAAACAAUCGUGAUCAAGAUUCGAACUCAAGACCACACCAUAGAAAGUAAAUUGAAGUAAUCACUACGACACCACCAUGGGUCAUGCAUUCUAUCUUCUUUCCACCUUUUUAUUCCUUUCUGCUCGCGAAGCUUUCCCUUUUUGUUUUCUUUGUUUCUUUUUCUUAAAUGCGCGAGUAUUUUUAUUAAAGAAAAUUUCAAAUUCACCAGAGCUUUUUUUUUCUAAUUCUAUUUUUUUCGCAUUUGGUGAACUCUUUUUCGAAUUCGGUGAACUUUUUUUGAAUUCGAUGAAGUUUUGUUCAAAAUUAAUGAACUUUUUUCAAAUCUGAUUAACUUUUUUCCAAACCCUAUGAACUUUUUCCAAAUUCGGUGAACUUUUUUUCAAAUCCGGUGAUUUUUUUCCUAAUCCGGUGAACUUUUUUUCAAAUCCGAUGAACUUUUUUUGAAAUCCGGUGAACUUUUUCAAAAGCGAUGAACUUUUGUUUCAAAAUCGUGAACUUUUUUGCAAAAUCAAUGAUUUUUUUUUCAAAAUCACGAUCUUUUUUCUAAUUAAUUUAAAAAAAUUAAGUGGUAUAGUAGAUGAAUAAAAUAGCGCUGCAGAUGUCGCCCCUGGUGCUAAUCAACAAUGGCAAGUAGGUCGUUUGGCUAGUAGCACCUGUAUGUUAACACGAUGUGAUAAGUUCGAAUACUGUAGAGAUCAUUAUUAUUUUCCAUUUUUUGGCGAGGUUUUUUGCGUUCCCUGGUCAUCGCGGUUCGCGGGCCGGUCCAGCGUGGGGCGCUGCAGGCGCCAGGAGCGCGAACAGGCGCCUGCAGCGCCGUAUAGGAGCUCGGGAGCUCCUAUGUGACGCUCUCUGCGUCAAGCAGUCGAGCGAUCGCAUAGGGGAUCGAUAGACUGGGCCAGCCCAUCUCUCUCGUGCCAGGAAUCGAACACCAGACCUGUUGUUUAUGAGCGUGCGCCUCGAACCAGUUGAGCUAGCUAGCUUUGUUGACCACAGACCAUUGCAAAAUCUUAAGAAAACUAGAACGUCGAUCCGAACAUAUUUAAAAAUUUGAACACAAAACAUUUUUCUCAAAAAGAAAACGUGAAUAUUUUAUCAAACGCGAAGAUUAUUUUUUUUCACAAAUUCUGAGAAAACUCAAACAUUUUUCAACACACAAAUGAAUUUUGGAGAUGCGAACAUAUUUUUUAGAACGGAAAACAUUUUUUAAACUACCCAAAAAAUUGAACAGGAACAAUUUUUCAAAUUUCCAAACAAAAUUUGGAAACACGAACAACUUUUUCACGCGAACAUUUUCUGAAACUGCAGAACAAAAUUUGAAAAAUGAACAUUUUUUAAAAUUGCAAACAAUUUCGGAAACGGAACAUUUUUCGAAACUCCAAACAAAACUUGUAAAUAUGAAUUUUUUUUGAAAUUUUCGAACAAAUUUUGGAACAGGAACACUUUUUCAAACUCCCAAACAAAUUUAUGGAAUUUAUGAACAUUUUUCAAUUUGUGAACAAAAUUUGAAAACAUGAAAAUUUUAUAAAUUUGUGAACAAAUUUGGAAAGAUGGAACACUUUUUGAAAUUCCAAGACAUUUUGUGAAUCCUUUUUUAUUCAAAAAAUAGGAACAUUUAUUGAAAUUCACGAACAAAAAUUGAAAACGAACAUUUUUCUUAAAUUUUGCGAACAAAUUUUUCAAAGUUUUGAAAUUUUGAAAAAAAAAACAUCAAGAAAAGAAACAGAAACUAAAAAAAGAAAAGAAACAUUUGUGAACAAGUUUUUAAAAAAAUGCAUACAGUUUUUGAAUUUNNNNNNNNNNNNNNNNNNNNNNNNNNNNNNNNNNNNNNNNNNNNNNNNNNNNNNNNNNNNNNNNNNNNNNNNNNNNNNNNNNNNNNNNNNNNNNNNNNNNNNNNNNNNNNNNNNNNNNNNNNNNNNNNNNNNNNNNNNNNNNNNNNNNNNNNNNNNNNNNNNNNNNNNNNNNNNNNNNNNNNNNNNNNNNNNNNNNNNNNNNNNNNNNNNNNNNNNNNNNNNNNNNNNNNNNNNNNNNNNNNNNNNNNNNNNNNNNNNNNNNNNNNNNNNNNNNNNNNNNNNNNNNNNNNNNNNNNNNNNNNNNNNNNNNNNNNNNNNNNNNNNNNNNNNNNNNNNNNNNNNNNNNNNNNNNNNNNNNNNNAAAUUCUGAACAUUUUUGUAAAAGCGCGAACAUUUUUUUGAAAAAGAAAACAUAAACUUGAAAAACAAAAAAGAAAAAAAGAAAAGAAAAACGAAACAGAAAUAGAAAAAGAAAGGAAAAUAGAAAACCGGUUCAGGAACCUUCUAGAAAGUUCCCAAAACCCGAAAAAACCAGCUGGAAACCUCUAAAAGGUUUCCAAAACCGGGAGCGCCGGAACGGUUAAACGGGCCGGCCCAUUGCGUCGCUGCUCGGUCGGUCGCCCGUGCAAAGCGCCGGCAGUUUGACGCAACGAGCGGCAUAUAGGAAUUUCCUAGGAGCUCCCUGUGCCGCUGUCGAUGGUGAGGGGUGGCCUGCCGUGUAAUUGCUAGGUGGGGUGAGGUGGGAUCCCAUCGGGAUAAACUGGACAGCCCACUAAACUUUUUUGUUGUCCCACGGGUGCCCACUAAGGUCAUUAAAGUGGGAUGGGCUGAGGCAGUCCCAUUUAAGCCCACCCCCACACUCCUGGUUUUGAGGGAGAAUUAAUCCCAGAGGGGAGGUGACGGUCCCUUCCCUGCCGUGAUAUAGGACUACUGUUAACGGCUUGGCUUUGCAUCUGUCUACUUAGUAUCCAUCAUCUCUUUUUUCUCUUGUUUUGAGGGGUAGUAUUAUCUAUCUCUUGGAAGAAAACUAUAGAUCCCACAUAUACUUACUACUACUCGCUGUUGCUUGCUAAGAUACGUACCUGCUACUGAGUGUUGUGUGUGUUGGCUUUGCUAUUAAUUGGCUCUUGUUUGCGUGUUUUUGCUACUGGUUGAUGUUUAUCUGAUGGGUCGGCCAGCCAUUCUUUCUUUCUUUCUUUCUUUCUUUUAACACGUUUCAUUUUGUCAACAGUUCAGUCGCCAAAGUGAAGAGUUUUUUGAUUGAUGUGAUGAUGCCUGGGGCUUCUUCAUUCACUAUAACUUGUUCAGAAUUUUAUGCGGACAACAAUUCAAACCAAGAAACUCAAGUCUCGCAUAUAUCACUCUCGACCAUAGUUACUUGGCUCAACAAUGCAUACAUAAAUAAACAAGAUAAGCCCGCAAAAAAUAAAGAUAUCUGGGGCCAUACCAUGAUAACAACUCAGAAUAUGAUAUAACAAUAAACCAAUCUCAACAAAAGGAAUGAGAUUGUGGAUCAUUUUUACAUCACAACGUCAGGAUGGCUCACUCGGCUAUGAAAAAGGAGGCCACCUCUAUGCUACCACCUCUACAGAUAAUUCGUUACAACUCAGCAAGAAAGAAAAAAAUAUAUCAAGCACUUUGAUUUUUCAAGCAAAUCGUCGUCAAACAAAUCUUGAGCUUGCCAUCUUUCUCCAACGUACGUACACAACACAGCACAAACUAAACCGCCUACCUCUCCAGAUCAUGUUUAUUCUAGCUAGCUACAUGUACAGCAAUGACACUAAUAAAACCAUAUCAUUCCACUGGAAGAGCAGCACCACAGGGUUCAAAUCCCCGCCCCGCCGUAUUCGAAUCGCUGGAGAGCCAUCUGUCUGCCGCCGGUACGCUGCUUGCUGGUGGUCUUCGACUCCGGCAGCACCUCCUCAGGAGGCAAGGAUGACAGGGGAGGUCGUGUCGCACCUCCAACAUCUCCCCUGGACGACCGGAUUCCUUGGCACUUGAUCAUGUGCCUAACAAAAGCUUUCUUGUGCCGCCUGCAUUAUAACAUAACAUAACAUGCUCGUGCGACCUGUUCCUUAUAAGACGCCUGCAUUAUAACAUAACAUGUAUAAGAACUAUAGUUCAAUCUGGCUAUGGAGCAAACAUAGAGCAAAAGAUAAAUUAAACAUCAACCACACAAAACAGGCCUAUAAAUGCUCGUGCGACCUGUGACUUUCGGUUGUUUUUGUUUUGUGAAGGCUAAACAAACCUAUAAGGAGCCUCUGCUACAUGUCGUGUCCUUCAGGCUGUGUUCCCAAAGAAGGAAGUGUAUUGUCAUGUAAAUUUUGAUUAAUUUUAUGCAAAAUCUUAAUAUUACCGGCUUCCGUUCCGUCUUUUGAUUUUAUUUGUAAUCAUGGAGUAUAAAUUCACGUCCAGCAAUUACUUCUAGAAUAUGAGUUGGAAGGCAAUGGAUCUAACUGGGUGAUAAAAUGGAUUUAUUGCCGAAAUCCAUGAUCAGUAUUUUACCAUGCUUACCAAAUCAAAUCCUACAACACAGCCACCAAAUUAGAACAUGAUGAACAGAAAGUCCCACUAGAGUAGGGCAUGGGACAUUUUAAAAUACAGUGUAACAGGGGAGACAAUUCCCAACCUCUUCAGACCAAACUUACAUGAUCUAUCCAAGUUGAAUCACACUUCCUUUGGUUCAACUUCUUUAUAAAUGCAUAGUCUGAAUCUGAAAGGGACAACUACACACGGUGUUCAAGGUGAACCCGACAAAGCAUGCAGCAUUAUCUGCAUAACAUCAAGAAAUGUAGAAUUACUUAAUUAAGCCCAACAAAUGCAGAUCCUUUAACAAACUAUGCUGAAAAGGGAAAACAGAUGUAAGCCAAGUUGAAACUAAUUUGUAAUAGGUUUGUGCUUGCACACUGUGCCACAGACGUAAAUACAAUCACCACAAAAUACAUAAAGGCUUCAGGACUCAACUGAUACAAAAUCAAACUCCAGUAUUACAUAAUCUAGAGUAAAUGUCUCAAAGAUAGAUAUACUCUUGUAAUACUACCAGAAAUCACCCUUUUAGAAGCAUUUCCAAUAGAAAACACAUCUAUCACAAAAACCAAAGAGUUUUUACAAAGCCAUUUCAAGGAACUACACGUCUUAUCCAUAAUGAUGAGGAAAUUUAAUUUUAGCCAAAACCAAUGGAUGUGACAUAUGGCUAUGGGAUCCACUUUCAUAACUGAAGGGUAUAUGACUGCUCCCUUAGCAUUACCUGUUUUUCUUCGCAUGACAAGGCUGCGUCAUCUUUAAGGUCACUAGGAUUUUUUGGUGCUUCUUUGGAACCAGCUGCUGGCACCCGCAUUUCCUGGCAAGUGGGAAAAAAGUACAGUGAAGAUCCUACUCAUUGACUUAUACAUAAUAUACUUAGAUUGUUGAACUAUAAUUUAAAAAAUUGUAGACAGCCCAGCCAGAGAACAACUUAAUAUUUGUGAUUACUUAUUACUUAUUACAGCAACCCUUCUCUCGCGACCGCGUCGCCCCCCCGCGGGCGACCGGCCGCGCGUCCCUCCUCCUCCCUCCAGCCACCCCCUUCCUCCCUCCCUCCCACCGCCGUCGCCGGCGCCCGCGGCCGGCCUGGCCCCGGGGCUGCUGGUGGCGGCGGCCUCCCUGCCCUUCCCCUCUCGGUCGCUCUCCGGCGUGGGCGGAGCUGCUCCGGGGGGUGCUCUUCGGCGGCGAUGGUCUGGCGUGGCGGCGGGGCUCCGUGGCGCGACGCAGGCGGACAGCUGGGCGGCGGCUCCGCCGUUGGCGGUGGGGCGGCGCGGCGGCGCGAUCUGGUGUCGUCCGCUCCCCAUCUGGGCUUGGAGGGGCCGGCGGCGGGGAUCGUCUCCGGCGUGGCUUCUGGGAGGCGGGGGAGUCACGACGAGUGGCUGGGUGCUGGCGGCGCCGACGCCGACCUGCUGCAUCGUGGCCGGCGGGGCUUAACGGGCCCGCUGCGGGCCUGGCUGGGCCGGGGGUGGCCCGGCAUGCCCCGCGGCCAUGUUCGGACGGCUACCGCGACGGUGCCGGAGGCAUGGGCCUCCCGCACGACGGCGGUGGAGGUGGUUCCCUCCCGCUUGUCAUUGGUGUUGCUGCUCCCGUUGUGGUGCGCUUCUCUCCGGUCCUCUUGGCCUCGUGGUGGUGUUCGUAGUGAGGCGGCGUUGGUGACGGCGUUUCUGCGUUGGCGCAUGGGGGUGGGCGACGGUUUGGCGGGUUGGUUUCAUCCGAUUGGGCGGGUGGGUCUGGGAAUGCGGGAGAAAUCCCUGCCGGCUUCGGCCCCGACGCGGUGACACCUGCGGGUGCCACCAUUCCUUCCUGGAGGGUGUCGGUGGUAUUCACCCCCACCUCCCUCCGCGUGCCGGGGGAAACCCUAGGACUCGUCCGGGUAGCAGCAUCAUCGGCGUCGCAUUCCUUCUUGGAGGUGCUGCUUGGUACGCGGCGGUUAGGAACCUCGGUCUGUGGUGGUUUUUAUCUGGUGGGUGCCGCGGUGGCGGGUCAUCCGUGCUUUGCCAAGCUGUCGUAGCUGGCAUUUGUUUCUUCUUCCUUUUCUUUUGGUGUGUUGUGCUGCUCGCCACAGCAAUCUCUGUACUCGGUGUUGGUGCUUUGAAAUACAAAGCGGGGGGAAACCCUUUUUCGGUAUUACAGCAACUCUAGUGUCAAAAAACGCCUUACAUUAUUGGACGGAGGGAGUACAAAAUAUAGUGAAUAAAACAUGCUCUCACGAUCUAUCUGCUUUACCAACCAAGUUGCUACACUUACACAUUUGAUGUAGACAUGGAACUUAAUGAUCUAAAAUCAUUUUUGGAAACCAUCAUUUUUGGACUGAGCUCAUGUACUGUUGGUAAAUCUACCAAAGGCAGCGAAGGCCGACUCCCUCUCCCUGCCGAGGCGCUCCCGCGAGCGCCGUCGGGAGGCAACCCUCGCGCGCCCCCCUCCGGCCCUCCUCCCUGUCUCCCCCUCCCCCGCCGCCGCCGGGGGCGCCGCCGGCCAAAGGCCGCGUGGCCGAGGCGGCGGCGGGGCAGUUUCUUCCUGCGCGCGGAGGGAUGGCGUCGCGGGCCGCCUCCCUCCUGCCCGCGGCGUCGGGUCCCGGCCGGCUCUUGCUCCGGCGCUCCGCCCCGCGCCCUUGUGGCCCGCCGGCGACUCCUCCUUCCCUUCCCACCUGCAACCCGUGGGAUCUGGUGGGCACGGUCGUGCUGGCGGCGGAUCUGGGCAUCCCGGCCCAGAUCCGGUGGAUGUGCGGGUCUUUGAUGGCGGGGGUGGCCGGCGACCCCAUGGAGGUGGUGGUGUGGCGGCCGGUGUCCGUGCUGCUCCGGUGCUGGGUGGCCGGGCGUCGGGUGGUACUGACCAGGGCGUGGAGGCGCAGGUGACGUGGUGGUGGCAGGUUGACUGCGGCGGCGGCCAAACUGUUCUGGCGUCGGCUCGUUUGUAGGCUGCCUGUAUCGGCCGUUGACUCCUCUCCUCGGCAUCCGUCCACUUCUCUCGCCGGAGAGCUGGCUUUCUCCCGGCUGCGGUCCAUCGACAGUCUCGCACCCGGUGUCGUUGGACCGAGCUGGUCUCGCGCCCGGCAGCAGGACCGGCCCGUCUCGCGCCCGGCAGCAGGACUGCGCUCGUCUCGCGCCCGGCAGCAGGACUGGCCCGUCUCGCGCCCCGCGGCAGGACUGCGCUCGUCUCACGCCCGGUGUAGCAGGACGGCUCGAUGGAGGCUUGGUGGCCGGCCUAUUCGGUCUCGGCGCUGGGACCGGCCAUGGGUGCGAAAGGCGGAUCCUUUCCGCUCGUUUCUGCGGUUGGGGUAGCGGUGGGGCUCGGGGGUCUUGGUGUCAUGGUCUUGGUGUCUGGGGCGGCGGCCCUUGUGGUGGUGGCGCGGUGCUCAUGGGCAGAGCUCGUGCCUCGGUGCUGCCCGGCUGUCAUGGCCGUGUGGGCGGCGUGGUAGCCGGGGUGUGGCGUUCGGUGGCGGUGAGUAUUGGCCGGGGUGAAAACCUACUCUAUCUUCGGACGGACUGGCGCGAAGAUCGCUCCCUUCUUGAAGGCGUCGUCGCGGCUAUCAUUGCCCGUCGUGUUGCUCCAGGGGAAACUCUGAUCCUCGGAUCGGGCGGUGGCGGCGCUCCGGUGUCGUAUCCUUCUUGAAGGCGCCGCCUUGGAGCCCACGGUUCGUCAUAUGCGGCUUCACUUCUUCGCGGGUUCACGGCUGAAGCCCUCGACGGCUCUUGUUGUGCUAGGGAGUGUGUUGUUGCGCUCAGCGCCUAUGUAUCCUGCCUUGGGUGUGUGUGCGUUUGUGGUGGGUUAGUGCGGUUGUAUCGGACACUGUUGUCUAUGCUUUAUAUAUAAAGCGGGGCGAAAGCCUUUUUCGGUAAAGUGACGGGGAGCUUCUGCUACAUGACCCUUCAGGCCGUGUCGCUCUUACUAAGCCGUUACUCUUUUUAUUUUAUUCUUAAUCAUUGCACAGGCUAAGACAGUAGGUGCCUUCUUGGAGUAAUAAAGUCACUUCCUACAAUAACUUCUAGAAUAGGAGUUGGAAGGCAAUGGAUCUAUCUGAGUGAUAAAAGAAUUCUGUUGAAUACAGUCUCCAAAGUAGCUUUGCACAGAAAAUUAAACUUCGUAUCGUUUCUUCAAAAUCAUGGUAGCAACUCUUACUAUGAACGUAUUUAAUACAAAGGACUCCUUCUAUGUCUGAUAUAUGUGAAUUCUUAUAACUCCAACUAGUGCCUAAAAAAGACAUAUUUUUUAUCCAUUCCAGCCAACCUUUUGGAUGCCCGACCAUUUGCUACUUAUGAGGAUCAAUAUAACACAUGAAAGUUGGGGAUUGCAAUAUGUCAAAAAAGGUUACUUUGGCUUGUAUAUAGCAAUAAAAUUAGAUCCAAUGUUGUAUAAGGCUGCACCAAAAAAAGAAAAGGCAUUCCUAAUGCUGGAGAUCACAGGGCGAGGAGAUCAAGAAAUUUGAUUUGGCACAAACAAUCAAAGGCCUUUUGGAUAAUGAAACCUAGAAAGCCUUUGAUAUGUGCAAGCAAUCGAAUCAAAACAUCCAUCCAUAAACACAUAGAGAGAAGCCCAAGAUACAAGCAAAAAAUUCAGCUUUCGAAAAUGGUAGUCAUCUGGUCAACUAGGUGUCACGUCAUGUGUUUGCUAAUUGCAAGUUUGCAACUACGAGCAGUCCUCUGGUCAAAUUAUAACGACAGUAGAAAUUUCAAUGAGUAGCCUGUACUAAAAUGUUGAAUCAACCAUGGUAAGGAAGACAUUAUUUUAUUUCGCAAAAAGGCACAUUUGUACUAUCCAUUAUUCAAGUGUUCAAAUGCUUCAUUGUGCUUUAAUGAUGCAGUGGCUCCGCAAGAACCGGACACCAAGCUAAUUUUUUCUCCUUUGAUCAUUACCCACAAGCAGACAUUUGAGUUAGUGCGAUUGAGAAAGCAGAUAGCUUGGGCUAAAAAAAAACCCAGAUAAUUUCAUGCUUAGGUAAUCACAACAAACAUUGUAACAUAGUCGUGGCUCAAUGGCCAUGUGCUCAGAGCAAGGGCGAAGAACCAGAGGAGGAAGAGGAGCUCACUUGUGCAAGUUGUAGCAGAGGCAGGACAUCGCGACCGAACUCGCAGGCGUCACACGAUGACAGGGAGGCGAGCUAGACGAGGCCAAGGCCAACAGACAAGUUUUUGUUUUGCUCAUCACAAAAGGCAGCACCGGUCCCGUCCACCUUCGCCAUCAUCUUGGAUUAUGAUGGGGCCCACCCUCGGGUUGGCCCAGUGCUUGGCCAAGUUACUCACCGAUCAUUGCAGCAAAUAUAACAGUUUUUUUCCAACAAAGAGUCAGCAGCUGGCUGGAACAAUAGUAGAGGAGCGAAAAAAUUUAGUAUCUAUCCUACAUCAGCUCAUCUACACACAACUUAAUGAGUAAAGCAGAAAAAUGAAAUGGUGGUUCAGUCCUAACACAUUCAUGUAUUUAACAAUUAAUUUAAUGAAUACAAUUCUCCUAAGCAUUAUAAGAUACUACAGCAAAACUACUACCCUGACCUGACAUGGAAAACAAGUAAACUCUAUCAGCACUAGCAAAACUAUGAUUUGUCAAGUAUUGGGCAAAGCACGAACAGAUUGACAGUGAAUGGAAGCAAAAUUAGGGGUGGAGUGUGUUCAUGAUCCUUGCAUGAUCUCUGGGAUAGCACUGCUGGAGAUUGCAAGGCGAGGAGAUGAACAUAUUUGAUUUGGCACAAACAUUGAGCUCAAAAGGCCUUCGAAUAAUUACACGCUCAAAAGGUCUGAUUCUAUUAUGCCACAACCCACAACUACUCAGAAAACUCCUUUUGCGAAAGGAAAUAAUGAAUUUGAAAACUGAGGCAGGAGAGGCCAAACUCAGUCAGAUCUGAUCUUAUGCUGCUUGCAUCACAAAAUCCAACCAAAACAUUUUGAAGAUCUACAUGAACAUUAAGACUUUGUAUGAGCUAGUACUUCCAGUGGGUGGGUGUGUGAAUUUAAACACUCAUGAUCAUCCUGACCAGGGUUCUCUCCGACCCAUGAUCGGACAUGGUUUCCUACUGACCAUCGAGCAAAACAAAAUGCUUCUUUGACAUACAUCAGAAAAAUAAAAUGCUCCAUUUAUUUUUUGAUUUUCUUUAAACAUGCAAAUAUUAAAAAAAAAAUAAAAAUUUAGGUGAAAAUUUUAAAAAAUAUUUGCCUGUUUAAAUAAAUGGAACGCAUAUCUUUUGGAGAAGGAGAAGGAAAAGGAAACAUUUGCUUGUUUAAACAAAACAACUGUAUCUAUGCAUGGUUUGAGCAGAUGGAGGCCAAUCUGCAGCUCCACUCGAUCCUCUUACUUACAUGAACGAGCCGAACUUUACUCGCGACCCGGCGCCGGCCGCCAUGUUGCCACAGAAGGAGGGCCUCGACACCGGCCCACCCAGCCGGGUCCGCCACCGGACGACCCCGACGCGUCCGGACCGCUAGGCGGAUGAGCUCGGUCUUGCUCGCCGACAUGAUCCCCCGCCGACUGGUCGGCCCGACCCCGUGCCAUCACCGGCUCCGGGACCUGCGGCGCGGUCACCUCCUUUUGUUUACAUCUCAUCCCAUGAUUUUGAAAAUUUAUUUACAUAUGCAAGAAAAUAUACCAUUUUUUAUAUUUUUUCACAAAUUAACGUAAUGUUCACAUUUUUGAAACAAUAUCAUGAUUGUCAAAAAAUUGGUAAUUCAAACAACACUUUAAAUAAUUUGAAAAUAUUUUUUUCUAUUUGCAAAUUUGAACAAUUUUUAUCUUGUGAACAUUUUCUAAGCAUUUUCUUUUGAAUCGGAACAAUUUCUUUGAAUAAUAUUUUUGGAAUUGGUUGUUUUUUUAAAUUGAAGAACAUAUUUUGAAUUGGACGAACAUAUUUUUGGUCAGCAAACUUAAAAUUCCAUUACCAGCACCUACAUACGAGUAUCUCACGUCAGAUUCGAUGAGCAAAGGACCAUACAUAAUUUGGGAUGUGCGUAGCAACAUCGUGACAAAGUUACCUUAUUAUAUGGGAUGGAAUCUCCAUCUGUAGUGAUUCGGGAUUGCUCCGUCUCUAGAUGCUUGGCCUACGUAUGAAUCGCCGAGAGAGUUAAAACAAAAAUUAAAAAUGGUCAUACAAAACGUCUUCUCGUCUUCUCCUCGAUAAGCGCCAACAGAAAUAGCUCCUCGCAAGUCAUUAGCACGCUUCAACGGCCGCUGAGACUCCACACGAUUCAUUCGGUCAGUGGAACCGCCGCAAGGCAGUUGCCAACAACACUACUUCUCUUCCCCCGCCCUUCCUCUCUCACAAUGUCAUACCUGAACUGCGGUGCUAUCCCUUCUACUCACGCUCUCUCUCUGUCCCUAAGCCAUGGUUGCGCCGGAGCCCCACGGUGAACCCCUGCAAGGCUUGCUGGCGAUGCAGGACGACGACCUCAAGGAUAUGAUGGCGCGCGUCGACCUACUGGACUGCAUUCGAGUUUCUGGAACCCACAACAGACUUGGCCAGGACGUGCGUCGAGUUAAUCCAGAGGUGGACAACCUGCUGGACUUGCCCGCCGUCCUCAAAAAUGGUGUUUUCUGGGAGAACGGCCCUGGACACACGUGUGUGCUGACUCCGAUGGACUGGCCGGCCGUGACGGCGAGGAUCCUGUACGAACCUCCUCCUGAAAAGUCUUAUGUCUGCCAUGUUUGUGCCCAUCCAACAAUCAUCUUCUCCCGCAACAUCAUCUUUUAGGAUGCAUCCGCAAGCAACUAGUUCAUUCGCUUGUUACCACUGCGUACAUUGUAGUGUUGUUUGGGAGAGAACGGCGAUUGGGUGGCCUUCGCCGAUGUACAAGGUGACAUUCACCUGCACAAUGUGUAUAGUUGUCACAACGUUCGCCUUCCCCCCCCUUUCUCCCCGAGGAUUCGAACCGGUGAACCAAACCGGCGGGAUGCUGGAUUUCAUCGCCCAUUCACAUGCAUAAUGUCAGGCUGGAUCUACUCAAGGUAGUCAUCGCCCAUCCACCAACGAGAAGAUUUGGCUACACAGACUACAUCAUCAUUGCUGUCUUUGACAAAGCAAUCGCCGUCAACACAUGUUUCAAUCUUGGUGCGGAUCAGUGGUAAAUAAUGCCUCGGGUUGUUUUGGCACCGCACUACUAUGAGGAUGCAGUCUACGUUGAUGCCCGAAUUUACGCAGUCACCACAGGCAGUACUUGCUUUGUAUGGGAUCCUUCAACCUUCGGUACGUACAUGAAAACCAGAGCAUCUCAAUAAACUAUCUUUCUGUGAUUUGUGUUGCACGAUUGCUAUGACUCACAGUCCACCGACGUAAUCUCAUUUGGUUUAAACGCCAGGAACACUGGCUCCACCAAGGUUCCUACAGGCCCCGCUCCUGCAGGACGAACCGCGGCUCAAAUUCUGUAAACCUGGUGACCCAAACAACAUGUAUCUUGUGCACUCGGGCGGCGACGUGACAGGGCAGGAGCAGGGCAUCGACCAUGAAGAUCGAAUCAUGCGUCCCUACCCAAAGUUGCCAGGUGCUCCGCUUCGACGGACUGGCCAACAUUUUGAAGGCGCGCAGUGGCAACCCAACAUCAACCUCGGUUCGCGCUCUCUCUUUGUAGGCCAAAGCUAUUCCCUGAUGAUGGAGAUGCCACCUUCUGAUCAAGACGGCAACUGGCUACCGUUCCUGAAGCGAGGAUGCGUUUUCACAGCGCGACGUCGCACUUCGUGCUACAAUGGUCCCCUCCCUGACAUGUGCCGGUACAGCCUUGACGAUAGUCCGAUGUUGGGCGUCUUCCUGAAGAGCGCGGGGUUUGACCACCCAGUGUGGCUGGCGCCGUCUCUUCGUAACGCGGCAGACUGUCAUGAGCAACAAGGGGAGUGAAGAAGAGGCUACCGUGGCCGCAUGGACAAUUUGGCCCGCCCUGUUAGUUUCUGCAGCAAGAUCUGAACCCAUAUAUUGGUUCAGUUAGUUUCUGAAACUUAUUUAUGCAGCAGCAGGUCACUGUGUGUGGUUUCUGAACUUAUGUAUGCGUAACUAUGUGUGGUUUCUGAACUUAUGUAUGCAUGUUAUCUAUCUAUCAUCUAUCUAGAGUACUCAUAUAUCUAUGAUAUUUAUCUAACUAUGGUUUAUGUAUAUUUAUCUAGAGUACUCAUCUAUCUAUGAGAACAAACAUCCAGAAACCAUGGUUAGAUAAAUAUCAUAGAUAGAUGAUACAUAGAUAGCAUGCAUACAUAAGUUCAGAAACCACACAGUGACACAUACAUAAGUUCAGAAACCACACAGUGACCUGGUACUGCAUAAAUAAGUUUCAGAACUAACUGAACCCAUAUAUGGGUUCAGAUCUUGCUGCAGACACUAACAUGGUGCGCCAAAUUGUCUAUGCGGUCACGGCAGCCUCUUCUUCACUCCCCCCUGCUGCUCAUGCCAGUCCGCCGCAUUACGAAGAAACGACACCAGCCACACUGGGUGGUCAAACCCCGCGCUCUUCAGGAAGACACCAAACGUCGGACUACCGUCAAGGCCGUACCGGCACAUGUUAGGGAGGGGACCAUUGUAGCAGGAAGUGCGACAUCGUGCCGUGAAAACGCAUCCUCGCAUCAAGAAUAGUAGCUCGUUGCCAUCUUGAUCAAAAGGUGUCAUCUCCAUCAUCAGGGGAUAGCUUUGGCCUACAAAGAGAGAGAGCGAACCAAGGUCGAUGUUGGGUUACCACUGCGUGCCUUCAAAAUGUUGGCCCAAUCCAACGAAGCGGAGCACCCGGCAACUGAGUGUUGGGUAGGGACGCACGAUUCGAUCUUCAUGGUCGACACCCUGCUCCUGCCAUGUCACGUCGUCGCCUGAGCGCACAAGAUACAUGUUGUUUGGGUGAUCAGUCGUGUCUCGCACCAGGUUCCAGAAUUUGAGCCACGGUUCAUUCUGCAGGAGCGGGGCCUGUAGGAACCUUGGUGGAGCCAGCGUUCUGGCGUUUAAACCAAACGAGAUUACUGUCAGUGGACUGCGAGCUAUAGCAAUCGUGCAACACAAAUCACAGAAAGAUAGUUUAUUGAGAUGCUCUGGUUUUCAUGUAUGUAUAGUAGGUUGAAGGAUCCCACACAAAGCAAGUACCGCAUGUGGUGACGGUGCAAAUUCGGCCACCAACAUAGACCGCAUCCUCAUAAUAGUGCGGUGCCAAAACAGCCGGAGACAUUAUUUGCCACUGAUCCGCACCAGGAUUGAAACCUGUGUUGACGACGAUUGCUUUAUCGACGACAGCAAUGACGAUGUAGUCCAUGUAGCCAAAUCUUCUCGUCGGCGGAUGGACGAUGACUACCUUGAGCAGGUUUAGCCUGACAUUGUCGUACAUGAAAUCCAGCAUCCCACCGGUUUGGUUCACCGGUUCGAACCUUGGGCAGAAAAGCAGGGAAGGCGAACGUUGUGACAACUCUACACAUUGUGCAGCUGAAUGUCGCUUUGAACAUUGGCGAAGGCCACCCAAUCACCGUUCGCUCCCAAACAGCACUACAAUGUACGCAAUGGAAACAAGCGAAUGAACUAGUUGCUUGCAUAUGCAUCCUAAAAAAUGAUGUUGCGGGAUAAGAUGAUUGCUGGAUGGGCGCAAACCUGGCAGACAUAAGACUUUUUAGGAGGAGGUUCGUGCAAGAUCCUCGCCGUCACGGCCGGCCAGUCCAUAGGAGUCAGCACACACCUGUGUCAAGGGCCAUUCUCCUAGAAAACACCAUUUUCAAGGACAGCGGGCAAGUCCAGCAGGUUGUCCACCUCCGGAUUAACUCGACGCACGUCCAGGCCAAGUCUCCCAUGGGUUCCAGAAACUCGAAUGCUGUCCAGUAGGUCGACGCACACAAUCGUAUCCCUGAGGCCAUUGUCCUGCAUCGCCAGCAAGCCUUGCAGGGGUUCACCAUGGGGCUGCGGCGCAGCAAUGGCUUAGGGACAGAGAGAGAGCGAGAGUGGAAGGGAUAGCACCGCGGUUCUAGUAUGGCAUUGUGAGAGAGGAAGUGCGGGGGAUGAGAAGUAGUGUUGUUGGCAACUGCCUUGCGGCGGUUCCACUGACCGAAUGGAUGGUGUGGAGUCUCAACGGCCGCUAAAGUGCGCUAAUGACUUGCGAGGAGCUGUUUCCGAUGGCGCUGAUUGAGAAGAAAACGAGAAGACAUUUUCUGGCACAGGUUUUUUUAAACUUAAAUAUUUAUUUAUUAUAAGUGGAGCCUAUAGAAAAGUAUAUACAUCAUAAAUGUGUUGCUCAAAGCAUAACUAGUCUGAUUCUUACAACCAAGGACAAAAUUUUGACAAGUCGCGGGAAUCUUUGCUAGACAUUGGCAACAUAACAAGUGGUAAGAAACACAUGCAGAAGGUCACUACAAUCGUUGCACGACAAUGUCUGUCAUUUCAUAUUUCACAUGGAAGUUUAAAGUGCAUAGUUUUCUUAGUAAAUCAUGUGUCCAAGUUCAUGACACCAAGAAUAGAGUUCUUUGAUGAUUUUAUAGUCGCACGGCAUGCUAGCAACAAAACUAGAGGGUUCAAAUCAAGUGGAGAUAAAAAGACAACAAGGUCAAGGUCCUAGUCAAUCUCUAGCUACUAGUGUGCAGCAAAAGAAGGAACAAAUUUUCAGGUGGAAAAUUGACUCACAUUUUAAUAGGACGCUAGCCCACAAUCAUACUAACUAAUUCCAUAGCAAAGGUAAAUAGUUGUUGUGGAUUCAAUUAACCAGUCAAUAUAUGAUCAGCAUGUAAGUCUUAUUCUCUAAGCAUACAACUCAAGUUUCACCAGCAUUGAACGACAUCAAAGUUCAAAAUUCCCGAGCCUCUAAAGUAUAAGACAAAUUCCAUCCGCCCGUCUUAUUGCCCUCCGGUUAACUGAAGUGAUUAAAUGGACAUGACU
rnacentral:lncRNA from 1 species